rnacentral:lncRNA from 1 species
UUUUUUUUUUUUUUUUUUGCCGGUUUGAAUUGACUUACGUUUUGAUUUUGUCCUGUUGUGGUUUUUAUGUUUUGUCCGUUUUGAUUUCCUACAGUUUUGCACCCCAAAUAACUCCUUUUGUCUUGCGUACGGUUUUGCAAUUCCAACGUCUCUUUCUUUACAUAAUACACACACAUACAAAUAGAGAUAUACUAGAAACUGAUGCAUGCGCGUUGUCGUGGGAUUAAAGAAACUAUAAGUCAUAGUUCUAUCUCUACCUUUCCAAAAGUAUUUAAAUUGAAUUUCUAUCAAUAAUCAGAAACAAUAAAAGAAAAACAACCAUUUCAAGGAGAAAGAAAUAGAAAACAACAAACGAAAAACAACCAAGGAAAUGUUACUUUUCAGUUCUUAAUAAUGUCAUCCCAUCGUUAAGUAUAAAGAUCAACUGAAUUUGCCUGUUGAAAAUUUCCAGAAAAUUUGGUAUAAAUGUUACCACACAAUAGACUUCUUAAUUGCGUUCAUCAUAUGUAAAUGGAGAUGGGAAGGAGAAAAAACCUUUGCAAAUGCUAUACUAAGCCGCCCUGCAAUACUGAAUAUUUCAGAUAGUCACAUUGUCUGUUUCAAGAUACCAACACGAAAAGAAUGAAAAAUACCUUAACAAAUACAGUGCAUACUCAGAAAUAUGUAAAGUUUCAAAAAAAAAACAUUAUAUUUCAGAAAAUUGUGUUCAAAUUUCAAAGUUGAUAUAACAAAGGCAGCUCUAAAACACAAUAAUUUGGGAGCAUUUUUGCUCACCACCAUAAACUAUGGUGUAUGCUCACCAUACACCUAAUCAAUUGACACGUAUCAUUUCACUUAACUCUAGUUAACUUUCACAUUAAAUGUUAGUUUUUCAAUUUUGAAAAAAAUUAACUAAAAUUAAGUGAAAUGACACGUGUCAAUUGAUUAGGUGUAUGGUGAACAUACAUCAUAGUUUAUGGUGGUGAGCAAAAAUGCUCCCCAAUAAUUUAGAACAGAAAAGGAAAUGUAACUAAAAAAAAAGUUAACCGAUGAAAUUAUGGAGAAACAUGCACGAACCUUGGAAGUAAAAAAUCAGCUGUAUCUGGAAAGCCUUUUUGCUAAAUUCUUUAACAAUCUAACGUGACUCAAACACUGAAAAGCUUAUUUCACAAAAUCCAAAAGCUUAUUUCACAUAAUUCCAUAAUAUCAGUUCCAAUACUUAACGUACAACUCGAAAACAAAUCAAUUCGCUAAAGUAACAGGGUAAAUACAAGUUUACUGUCUAAAACAGAAUAUCUUGUUAUCUUCUUAAAUUAUCUUCCAUGAUAUUAUUCUGCGUCUCCAUAUUUCUUGUUUAACUGUUUUUCCAUUAGACUCUUCAUUGAACUGUUCAUAAACAAACUAAAUUUUGCUGCUAAAAUUAUUAAAAACAUAAUGGUCAGUUUGAAAGUCAUCUUGUUUGAGAUGCUUAUUUUCUUCAUUAAAAACAAUAUAGGUAUAACAAUUGACAAUUGUUCUCUGAUUGGUCAACACAUUUUUAGUACAGAUAAAAGUUGGUCCUAACACACAUAACUCUUUCCCACUAUUGCAUAAAUUUACACCUAACUGGUUGUCUAAAUCUUUUACAGAAAUUCUAAAGUUUGUUUGACACAACAUUUCAUACCAAAUCUGUUGGUCUUUCGGUUGGAUCUAUUUACUGAAUUACUGUAAGUAUGACAUUUCAUUCCUGGAAGGUUGGCUUUCACUGUGGUCCUAGUAUGCACUAUACAUUAUAACAUAGCCAUCCGCAUCUGUGAAACAACUUUGCUAAUGCACUUGUAAACUGUUGCAGAAUUUGGAGAAAUGUUAAUAGCAUAAUCAAAACAGUGAUAAUGUGCAAUCUUUAAAGAUACCCUAAUUUGAUUGCUUUUGCUGGUACUUCGUUGUUCUGAGGCCCAGGCUGUUGGAUCAAUAAUAAAAAAAAUAUGAAAUAAUAAAGGGAAAUAUUAUUGGCACUCUAAAAAUCUCAUUAUACACUUCUCGCAAGUGUAUUUUUCUUUCAUAAUAUAGAAAGUUUGAAGUGUAGAAUGAGAUUUUUGGAAUGCUAAUAACAAUUCCCAUAAUAAAAGAACUCAAUGAUAAUGUGCAAUCCAUCUGUUAAAAAAAACAGCUAAAAUUAUUUAAGAGUUUUAGUGUGCAAUCCAGAUACAUAGCCAUAACUGUUGGAGCAAUAUUUCAAAAUGAAAAUUUGAUGAAGCAAAGCAGCUGCGCCAUCUGGGCAUAUUUACUCGAUUUCCUUUUUGCAUUUGUACUUCAAUUCGAUGACGAUUUGCCCCUUACACUUUUUAUUUUAUUAUUUUUAUUUUUAACAAACGAUAUAAUUUACACUAAGGGGGUGGGAGAGUGAAUUAAGCCUCAUAGUCACAAUGACAACCAUAUAAUGUAGUUUAAAUUCGCAUUUUGCGAGAAUCGAACCUAAGACCUCUCACUUACAAGUGGGGAGGAAUACCAUUAGACCAUAGUACUAAGUGGCGCCUCUUAAAUUUUAUUUUAUUUCGUCGCUUAGCUAUUUUUGUCAAAAGAGAAAUAUAUUAAGUUCGAAUAGAUACGUUUACAUCAUAAUCCAAAGUAUUAAACAACCACUCUGACUCAAAACAAUCCCAUGUAUAUAAACCACCCAAUUGCGAGACAAAAGAAGCCACCAUAUACGUUACCCACCCAAUUGCGAGACAAAAGAAGCCACCAUAUACGUUGCCCUGUUACAUACACAGGAAGAAAAAAAAAACUCUACUGACCUCAAUUGCUUUUGCACACACUGAAUAUCAAGGAGAAGGCUUCCAAUAACAACAUUAGGUUGAGAAAUCUCAUUGAUCAUAUCCACGAGACAUUUAUAAUCCAUUUCCACCUGAACCACAUCAAAACCUCUCCACACAAGCCCACAAAGCCACCCGUAUCGCUAACGCCUCCACCAUUAGACUAGACUCGCAAGAGAAAUUCCCCAGGCCACCUGCCCCCUUGAAAAUACCUGCGAAGUCCCGUGCCACCCAUCCAUACCAACUAUAAGUUCAAGAAAAAAAAUCCAUCCAUUUGUUUUCUUCUUUUCCUUUUUUUUCCUUUGUAAUCUAUUUUUUUUUAUCCAAUGAUAUAUUUAUAGUAAAGUGUGGAAAUUAAAUUGGUUACAAACUCGUCAUUCUUGAGAUUUGAACUUAAGAUUUCUUACUUACAAGUAAAAAAGAAUAUUACUAGUGUUUGGAUCAAAACUUGAACUUUGGGCUCAAGAAAGGAGUUGGCCCAAAAGGAGGCCUGAAAGGGAAGAUAGCCGAAGCCCAGUCGAAGCCCAGAAGGCAGGAGAAGGCCUUUUCUGACUUGAUGCAGCUCAUGAAGACCACUUGCUUACCUACCCAAAGGCCAAGUGGUGUAGGCUGGUCAGCUACACAGCCCAUAAAGUACUUUAUGGUGGCAUUACAUGUAAAAUAGCUGAUGAGUCAUCACCCUCAAACCGCAUUCGGCCAAAGCUGCUGCUACCAAAGGCCAAGCCGAGUUGUCUAUAUAAGAAGAAAGAAAAUCAAGGAUUAAGGACACUCAAUCAAACAAACAAAUGCAAGCACAAACUCUGCUCAAAACCAGAUUUGCCUUCAAAACAAAGCUGUAGUCAGCCUUCAUCCCUUUCGGGCUAAACCUCCAUCCCUUUCGGGAUAACCCUCUCUUCAACCUUUUGUAAUAGCUCUGCUACCUUGUUCAACCUUGCUGUAGUAUCGAUUCAUCUUUUGUAAUCUCUCUCUCUCUACCCCUCUAAGCUUUCAGACCUUUGACAAAACUACAAAGAUAGGGACCUGCAAGACGAGCAACCUUACCCGAUAAGGUUUAACCUUGCCCAACCUUCUUUGCUUUAGUUUUGUCUUUUCAAUAUGUUGUAUACUUCCAGUUAUAUGCAAGUUAUUUCUAGCAACAUGAUUAUUAAGAGGCUUUUUCAGUACUUGAAUCCGAUUUGAAUAUAUCGUCAGUGUUCAAACCAGAUCCAAGUCCUAAGCCCUCGGGCAUGUAAAUCUGAUCAGUUAAAAGUCCUUGGCCUCAAGGCAUAAAAAAAGAACCUUAUGUGGACUUAACCCAUCCACGACAGUCCUUGAUAAACGAGAAGUCCGAAGUUACUUGGGCGCAAGUAAUCAACCUACCUUCUAGUUUUCUUUCUAUUAUGCCAUGAUUAUCAUAGAACGCUUGAGCAUGGAUGGAUUCUAAUGGAAAGCCUCAAGGCCUACACCUAAGGCCCCACAAAGGCAUCCAUUUGGAUUCAUUCCGUUCAGCGACCUAAAGAGUCUAAUUAUAAGAAUGAACUCUGAUGGGAAGCCUCAAGGCCUACACCUAAGGCCCCACAAAGGCACCUAUUUGGGUUCAUCCUAUUUCUUGGAUUCGGGUAAUCAGAAGUAUAAUAGUUAGAAAACUCCUACAAUCACGAGAAUGAAUAUGAUGUUCGAGCACUGGUUUAGUUAUUUAUGGGAAGCCUCAAGGCCUACACCUAAGGCCCCACAAAGGCACUUGUUAUAACUAACACGGUUUCUUGGAUACAUACAUACAUACAACUAAAGCACGACUGCUAUUUUACAUCUGCCAUGCUAAAGAUGGCAGUGGCACGCCUGAGCACCUAAAUGUUAACCUUGAUUGUGAGCCUCAAGGCCUACACCUAAGGCCCCACAAAGGCACCUCUCAAAGUUAACGCUGUCCUUCUCUUUCAACCUUGCCCGAAGAGUCUUGCCCGAAGAGACUUGCCCGACGAGACUUGCCCGACAACGCCCGACAGCGAAGCAGAAGCCCGACAGCAGCCCUCAAUCGGCGCCAACCUCCAGGGGAGCUGUGUGCUCGUCGGCCAGGAAACAUCCCCGACGGAAAUUCCUACCACGAACAUAGUUUUGGCACGCCCGGUGGGAUCCCUUGAUCAGAAGAUAUAUUUCAAGAUGCCAGAAGGUUUACAAACUACGUUACUACAAAUGUUGCAAAGGUUGGAGAAAGCUUCCACAGGCUUCAGAGAAGAAACAGACCUGGUUCCUCCCGAGGGAAAGAGACUUAAAACCAGCCCGCCUGAAAAGCUGGUGGUAGACAAACCUGCAGUUCCCCUUUCAGAAGUCCCUGUAAAUAUGAUCAAUAUGACAUGGGCUGAGAAAGGAAAAGAAAGAAUUACAAAGGAACCAGAAGAGAAGAGAUUGGCUGAAAAACCUACAGGAGGGGUGAUUAAAACACCCGAAUAUCCAAAAGCAGCCAUAAUCAAGGGGAUGGUUAUGUGCAGUAAGUGCCAGUGUGAGUGUGAGCUUGAAAAUCCCCCGGCUGGAGUACUUAUUGACCGUGAAUUAAUCAGGAGAAAGGAAGAAGACGUCAGAAGAGAAGCCUGCGAAAAGAUUAAGCAGGCAACGAAAAAAGAGACUUCCCGAAGCGUCUUUCAACGACUAGGAGGUGAUUCCCAACCCAAAGCUUUGUUAGAAGUAUUUCGAAACCAUGAGGUUUCUGAUGAAGCGGAAGACAUGAAAGCCAAAAUACGACGGAGUGCAGAUCAUCCUCAAUGUGGCCAGAUGGGGAGGGAAAUCAAGAAGAUUGAUAGCAUGAUCAAUCCUAGUAGAAAAGGAAAUCCUGCCCACCUCGGGCGAAAAUAGUAUGUAGUUGGGAAGAACGGACAGCCUGCUAAACCAAUGGGAGCCUCUAUGAUCAGGAGGGUUCAAAGGCAGCACAAAGCCUACAUGAAUUCCUUAAAGACCCCCACAACAUCUGAAGCCUCCAAAAAUCAAAAGUUGGAGAAAACAGCAUCUGGAGGAAGUGGUCAGCUCCGUUGAAGAAGUAAGAAAGAGGUGGAAAAAGCCGACAGCAAGACGGAAGGCGAGGGGAAUCACGUGCCGCAGAGCCAACACCCCGGGAAGUACAGGAUCUUGAGGAGAGCUCAAGAAGAUCUAAUCAUGAUGCCAACUCCUGGGUGGAAGCCAGGUCCUAACCAUGCUGAAAAUAUUUCAUCUGAAAGGAGACCACCUUCUCUGCCAUUGGUGGAUCCUUUUGGUGAAGUCCCAAAACAAACACUGUAUGCGGGCAUGAAUCAACAGCAACAGGAGGGGGCACCAGAACCAUUACUUCCAGCUGAUGCGAUGGCCUGGUUGGAUGAAUUUAUGGACCAGAUUGGGGACAAUAAAGAAGGUUCGCCCGAGCCUAAUAAUUUCCAUAUCAACAUGACAUAUGUGUUGUUCGCCACGUUUGGUGCCAGACCUGAUCAACCCGCUACUAUGGAGGGUGAUUACUUGACAACUGAGCCAAUGAUGGCACAUGUCAAUAUAGAGGUAGUUGAAGAAGAAAGCUCAGGCAAGGCUGAAUCCUCAGAAGCAUCCAAAUGUGGUCCUCUAAGGAUUACACGGACGAGAUGGUGUUUAGCCGCCCGAACAGCUCGUUGGCCAAUCAUCUGAAACCUAUAUAUGUUACAGCCCACUUGGAAGGUGUGCCCUUCAAAAGAAUUCUAAUUGAUGGAGGAGCAGCUGUUAAUGUGUUACCGGCCAAGCAGAUGAAGAAAAUGGGUGGGAAGAGGUACGGAGGAUCUUAUUCCCACAGACCUCACAGUCUUUAGCUUCUCAGGCGCUAUCACUAAGACUCAUGGAAUAUUACCUCUAGAGGUGGAUCUGGGAUCUAAAAAGAUAAUGCUGGCGUUCUUUGUGGUGGACUGCACCUCCACUUAUGGGGCCUUACUCGGAAGAGAUUGGAUCCACCAAGGUUUGGCUAUACCCUCUACUCUUCAUCAACAAGUGGCUGUCUAUCAUGAGGCGGGCGUAGAAGGACCAGGCUUUUGGGAUAUGGUAGAGGCCGAAUCACGGCCAUUUCUCCCCACAACCAAUAUUGCAGAAGCAAGUUUCUACAACCCCAAUGUAGGAAUCUUGAAGUGUUCAGGAGCUGACGAGAACGACCACCCUACCAAGAUGACGGCCCAAAAGCUUUUAGAACAAGGAAUGCUCCUUACUAGAGAAGAGUGUGAUAGACCUUGUAUCCUCCCAAAUCCCCUACACCAUCAAUGAGUGGACAAAAGAAGAGAGAUCAGGUAAUGGCAGUUAGAUCCCUGAUUAAAAGACUGCUGAUAUACGGGAAGGGAAGAAGACAAGAAAAGGAGCUCUUGGACAGAGAAGAGCGUGAAUGGUAGGAGGAAACUUCAACCAGCCAGCAUGAAAGCAAGGAGGAAUCUUGCAGUGAAGAACUGGAUGGGGCCAUUCAAAUGGCCGAGUGCAUAUAUGAUCUGGAUGGGCCAGACGACUUGCCCGAGAGCCCGGAGCUGGUCGAAUUUUUGUGUACAGAACCAGAUAAGCCACCACCAGAAGUCCAGGAUCCUCUGGAAGUCAUUAAUUUAGGAACAGAGGAUGACCCAAGGCCAAUACAGAUCAGUGGUUUAUUGGGGGUUGAUGAUCGGGCAAGGAUUGUUUGUCUUUUGCAAGAAUUCAAAGAUUGCUUUGCUUGGCAUUAUACCGAGAUGCCAGGGUUAGAUCCAACCUUGGUGGAACAUAAAAUGCCCAUCAAGGAAGGAUAUAAGCCUGUCAAGCAAGCACCACGGAGGAUGUCAAAGGAGAUAGAAGAAAAGGUCAAAGAAGAGAUUGAAAGGCUAGUGAAAGUUGGCUUUAUCAGACCAGCCAAAUAUGUGGAGUGGUUGGCCAACAUCGUACCCGUUUUAAAAGCUGUAACAAAAGCGGUACGAUGUUGUGUGGAUUACAGAAAUAUUAAUGGCGCUACACCAAAGGAUGAGUAUCCCAUGCCCAUGGCCGACUUAUCCAUAGAUGCAGUGGCAAAACAUAAAGUCCUAUCUUUUAUGGAUGGGAAUCCGAUUACAAUCAGAUAAAGAUGGCUUCAGAAGAUAUACAUAAAACAGCUUUUAGGUGUCCCGGUCAUGUGGGGGCAUAUGAAUAUCUGGUCAUGCCAUUCGGGCUCAAGAACGCUGGUGCAACUUACCAGAGGGCAGUGAAUGCCAUCUUUCAUGAUCUAAUUGGCCAGAGCAUGGAGGUAUACAUUGAUGACAUAGUGGUCAAGUCCAAAACAGAAGAACAACAUAUGGAAGAUCUCAGACAGACAUUAGCAAGGAUGAGGAUCCACAAAUUGAAGAUGAAUCCAAAGAAGUGUGCAUUUGGAGUAAGAGCAGGCAACUUCUUGGGAUUCCUGGUGCAUCAAAGAGGUGUAGAAGUGGAUAAGAACAAAUCUUGGGCAAUAAUGAAGUCACCUUCACCUACCAACAAGGUGCAACUCCAGAGGUUACUGGGCAAAAUCAACUUUUUAAGGAGAUUCAUUGCUAAUUUAGCAGGCAAGAUCCAGCCGCUGACUCCUUUACUAAGGUUGAAAGAUAAAGAAAAGUUUGAAUGUGAGCCACCGCACCAACAAGCCUUUGACAGCAUCAAGGCCUAUUUAACUUCUCCACCAGUGUUGGUGCCACCACAAAGGGGAAAACCCUUGAAGCUGUAUAUCUUUGCCUCUGAAAAAUCAAUCGGAAGCUUGCUAGCCCAAAAUAAUGAGGGCGGGAAGGAGCAGGCAGUGUACUACCUCAGUAGAAUUCUGACCGAGGUAGAAACAAGGUAUUCCCCGAUAGAGAGAUUAUGCUUGGCUUUAUAUUUCACUGCCAGUAAAUUAAGGCAUUACAUGUUACCUUGUCACGUGCACAUCAUCGCCAAGACAGAUGUGAUAAAGUACAUGUUGUCAAAGCCAAUGCUCACAGGAAGGAUUGGGAAAUGGAUUCUAGCUUUAUCAGAAUUCAGUUUUCAAUACGUACCCCAAAGGGCAGUCAAAGGUCAAGCAAUUGCCGACUUCCUGACCGAGCAUCAAGAAUCUUCAAGUGAGGUGAUCAAUAUCCCUGGAAGCUUAAAAGUUACUAGCAUUUGGAUCCCGCCGAGAAAAGAUAUUUCGGGCAAAGAAGACUGGGUCCAGCAAGAGAUAAGAAGAGUGGCUGGUCUCUGGAUCACUCAUUGGAAGUUGUAUUUCGAUGGAUCCCACACUCAAAAGGCUUCAGGAGCAGGAAUUGUAAUUGUAAACCCUCAGGGAGUUUAUCAUUAUUAUUCAUUUCUCUUGGAUUACCAGGGGAAUACUAAUAAUCGGGCAGAGUAUGAGGCCUUAAUUAUUGGUCUGGAAAUCUUGAUGGAUCUAGGGGCAGAAGAGGUAGAGGUCUUUGGAGAUUCAGAGUUGGUAAUAAACCAGUUAAAUGGGGAGUUCAAGUGCAGACAUAUUACCAUGGCGGGGUAUUACUUGGCAGCUACGCAAUUAUUGAAUUUCUGGGAUUCUGAGAUAUCGGUCAAUCAUGUUCCCAGGGAAUCCAAUUUAGCGGCCAACGAGAUGGCACAACUAGCCGCAGGAGUGCCAAUACAGGAAAGGAAACCUGGGGUAGAUGUUGAAAUCCAAAGAAGCCUCCCUUCCAUCUUAGAAAGGGGAUUCAGUCUAGAUAUAAUGGUGCUAGAGGCCGAGAUAGAAGAUUGGAGGUCACCUAUUAUUCACCAUUUGAAUGAUCCUUCCUCGCCUACCAGCAAGAAGGAUAGACAGCAAGCAACUAAGUAUGUCUUAUGGGCAAAGAACUUGCUAAGGAAAACUCCAGACGGGUUACUAUUGAAAUGCUUGGGCCAAGAAGAAUCCAUGAGGGUAAUGGCCAAAGUACAUGAAGGAGUUUGUGGAGCACAUCAGGCUGGAACAAAGAUGAGAUGGUUGCUUAGGAGGUAUGGUUAUUUCUGGCCCGACAUGGAAAAAGAUUGUAAGUCUUAUGCCCGAGGAUGUGAAGAAUGUUAGAGGCACGGACCUCUCCAGCAUGUGCCCUCAGUACUUUUAAAUCCAGUGGUCAAGCCUUAGCCCUUCAGAGGAUGGGCAAUGGACUUCAUCGGGCAAAUCUAUCCAGCUUCUAGCAAAGGGCAUACCUUCAUAAUUGUGGCAACGGAUUACUUUACCAAGUGGGUGGAAGCAUCAGCAGUAAAAUCCAUAAAUUCAGCCACAAUCAAGAAUUUUAUCGAGACCAAAAUCCUGCACAGAUAUGGAGUGCCCGAGACCAUAGUAACGGAUCGUGGGCCAUCUUUUAUUUCAAAAGAAGUUGAGGAAUUUGCAGGCAAGUACAAAAUAAAGAUGAUCCAGUCCAGUCCGUACUAUCCUCAAUCAAAUGGUCAGGCAGAAGCUAGCAACAAGAUCCUGGUCAACAUUAUCAAAAGGAUGGUGAUGGAUAGUCCAGAAAGAUGGCAUGAGAAUCUGGGGAACACUUUGUGGGCAUACAGAACUUCUAAGAGAGCAGGAACAGGGACAGCUCCUUAUGCUUUAACUUUCGGGUAGGAUGCAGUGCUCCCCGUGGAAAUCAAUGUGAGUUCUUUAAGAAUUCAAAAUCAAUUUAGAUUGCAUAGCGAAGAGUAUGUCGAAGCCAUGUGUCAAGGAAUUGAAGACUUGGAUACCGCCCGAAUUGAAGCUUUGAACCAGAUUCAAGAAGGGAAACGAGCUGUUGCCCGAGCUUACAACAAGAAGGUGAAGAUGAAAUCUUUCAAGGAAGGGGAUUUAGUAUGGAAGACAAUCCUCCCUCUAGGAGCUCAGCUCAGGGGUUUUGGAAAAUGGAGCCCGACAUGGGAAGGUCCUUUCAUUAUUGGUCGUGUUCUAGAUAGAGGGGGAUACUACCUGGCGGACCUUGAAGGAAACAAGCAUAAACAUCCCAUUAACGUUAAAUUCUUAAAGAAGUAUUGUCUUACGUUGUGGGAUGUCAGAGAUUGUUAUAUCGAAGAGGAUGCGAAGUAAAGCGAGCUUCGGGAUAUCAUUAUGCAAUGCGUAUUUAUCAAACAUUCAAGAUGGAAAGACAAGAGUUGCUGAGAUAAUGUAUAUUUCAUUUCGACAAAUUGAUGAAAUUUACAAAAGAUUCAAGGCCAACGUAUUACAAUCAAUUCUCUUCCUGGAUGCAAUGGUAUAUUCAGUUGGUCUUCCAAUGACUUCAUGGAUGGAACCCAAUCAGGUGAUCGGGUUGUGAGGCCAAUAUGAGCCUGGUAGAGGUUCCUCAGACAGGACCAUCAACAUAUGUAAUGGUCAAGCCCGAUUUAUCACCGCAGCAAGCAGGGAGACAAACCGUCAAGAGGAAACCGCCUGACCAAGGGUGUUGGAGAUAGCGGGGCGUUCGACCAAGGGUGUUGGAGAUAGCAGUUCUUUGAUGAAAGCCUUUUUUCUCACGGAAAGGAAGUUUUAGGAAACCCCACUCAAAGCUUAAAGAACCCAUUUCUCAAAAUACUCGAGGAAGAUGGAAGAAAAGAAUGAAGAUGAUUUGAUGGCUUGAUAGAAGAGUUUCCAAGCCAGAAUUUAUAGAAAACCAGAGGGUAGUUCAGAGGUCGUGAGAAGCUCAAGGGACACGGGGUUGCCUUCAUCCUGUCGAAGGAACACGAAGUUCCAAAAGAUUGAGAUACACGCAUGCGGGUAUUCAAUUAAUGUUGGCGCUUGGGAUUCCAACCUUAACAUUAAUUGAAGGGGGCACUGUUUAGAUCAAAACUUGAACUUUGGGCUCAAGAAAGGAGUUGGCCCAAAAGGAGGCCCGAAAGGGAAGAUAGCCGAAGCCCAGUCGAAGCCCAGAAGGCAGGAGAAGGCCUUUUCUGACUUGAUGCAGCUCAUGAAGACCACUUGCUUACCUACCCAAAGGCCAAGUGGUGUAGGCUGGUCAGUUACACAGCCCAUAAAGUACUUUAUGGUGGCAUUACAUGUAAAAUAGCUGAUGAGUCAUCACCCUCAAACCGCAUUCGGCCAAAGCUGCUGCUACCAAAGGCCAAGCCGAGUUGUCUAUAUAAGAAGAAAGAAAAUCAAGGAUUAAGGACACUCAAUCAAACAAACAAAUGCAAGCACAAACUCUGCUCAAAACCAGAUUUGCCUUCAAAACAAAGCUGUAGUCAGCCUUCAUCCCUUUCGGGAUAAAUCUCCAUCCCUUUCAGGAUAACCCUCUCUUCAACCUUUUGUAAUAGCUCUGCUACCUUGUUCAACCUUGCUGUAGUAUCGAUUCAUCUUUUGUAAUCUCUCUCUUUCUACCCCUCUAAGCUUUCAGACCUUUGACAAAACUACAAAGAUAAGGACCUGCAAGACGAGCAACCUUACCCGAUAAGGUUUAACCUUGCCCAACCUUCUUUGCUUUAGUUUUGUCUUUUCAAUAUGUUGUAUACUUCCAGUUAUAUGCAAGUUAUUUCUAGCAACAUGAUUAUUAAGAGGCUUUUUCAGUACUUGAAUCCGAUUUGAAUAUAUCGUCAGUGUUCAAACCAGAUCCAAGUCCUAAGCCCUCGGGCAUGUAAAUCUGAUCAGUUAAAAGUCCUUGGCCUCAAGGCAUAAAAAAGAACCUUAUGUGGACUUAACCCAUCCACGACAGUCCUUGAUAAACGAGAAGUCUGAAGUUACUUGGGGCGCAAGUAAUCAACCUACCUUCUAGUUUUCUUUCUAUUAUGCCAUGAUUAUCAUAGAACGCUUGAGCAUGGAUGGAUUCUAAUGGAAAGCCUCAAGACCUACACCUAAGGCCCCACAAAGGCAUCCAUUUGGAUUCAUUCCGUUCAGCGACCUAAAGAGUCUAAUUAUAAGAAUGAACUCUGAUGGGAAGCCUCAAGGCCUACACCUAAGGCCCCACAAAGGCACCUAUUUGGGUUCAUCCUAUUUCUUGGAUUCGGGUAAUCAGAAGUAUAAUAGUUAGAAAACUUCUACAAUCACGAGAAUGAAUAUGAUGCGUUCGAGCACUGGUUUAGUUAUUUAUGGGAAGCCUCAAGGCCUACACCUAAGGCCCCACAAAGGCACUUGUUAUAACUAACACGGUUUCUUGGAUACAUACAUACAUACAUACAACUAAAGCACGACUGCUAUUUUACAUCUGCCAUGCUAAAGAUGGCAGUGGCACGCCUGAGCACCUAAAUGUUAACCUUGAUUGUGAGCCUCAAGGCCUACACAUAAGGCCCCACAAAGGCACCUCUCAAAGUUAACGCUGUCCUUCUCUUUCAGCCUUGCCCGAAGAGUCUUGCCCGAAGAGUCUUGCCCGACGAGACUUGCCCGACAACGCCCGACACAGCGAAGCAGAAGCCCGACAGCAGCCCUCAACCGGCGCCAACCUCCAGGGGAGCUGUGUGCUCGUCGGCCAGGAAACAUCCCCGACGGAAAUUCCUGCCACGAACAACUAGACUAUAGUACUGGUAAAAAAGAAUAUUACUAGACUAUAGUACUGAGUCGCUAUUUAAUCUAAUUUCUUAACUUAAUGAUUUAGAUCUAAGUUAAUUGGUUUUGAAAAAAUAUAUGGGUUUUUAUUAAUUUUUUGGGCCACAUAGUGACCGUGUGGCAGACAGUUAAGCAAAAGUUGGUCCAUUUGUGCCACAUUUGUAGUUUAACAAAUUUGUUAACAGACUUAGACGGCGAGGGGCAAAGUGGGACACAAACAAAUUUUAAGGGGUUAGGCCUUCCACAGUGGUUUAAAAUGAGUUCGAUGUUAUACGACUUUGGUGUAAGUUUGAUAAAGGUGAGUGUUAUACAGUAAAACCUAUGAGCUUAAUGUUACCAAUUAAUUUGAGCAAUGAUAUUAUGGAAGGAACUUAGUUCAUGUCCUUAUAAAGGAAUUCUUAAUAACAUGAAUUACUUAGCCCGUCAUGGUCCCUAAACUAAUACCCGAGUUUACUAUAGCCUUUCAUUUUAGAUAUUAAAUUCUAGGGGAGGGGAUGCUAUUGACCUUCUCCUUAUAUUUUUUCAACUCUUCAUCUCAUCUUGCAAUGUUUUACGAAGACUGAAAUUGUCUACUUUUUAAUUUUUCUAUUAUCUGUAUCACGCCUCAGUAUUUAUUCUAGUCCCUCACUCUUUUCAACGAAUGGAUGUAUGGAUUUAAGAACAGCCUUACCUUCAACGGAAACAUAACAAGUUACAGGCCAAAGUUCAUUGUCUAUAUAUGAUGUGCAACACUUGAUGACAUUAGAAAAGUUAACCAGGAUUGACCUGAAACAUGACCUGUUUAUAGCCAUACUAGGCAACCUAAAUUAUUGACACUAGCACAAUCAAGGUCAACUCGAACUCAUUUAUCUCGUUUCGAUUUCGUAAGAGAGAACGCGGAGCGCUAUCCCCGGCCGCCGAUACAGUUGCAAGCAACCAGUUCUUACCAUUGCUAGAUAUACAUGGGAGGUAGGCGAAGCUAGCUUGCUUCUCUUCUCCUUUUAUGUGCAAAAAGACUUCAAUGUCAUGAAAUUAUCACUAACGAUGGAACCGUGAUUAGUAUUAUCUUGCGCAUUUAAAACAUGUAAUGAAAAUUUGGGGGCCUUUUCGAAUCGGGAGCCCUGUGCGGUGACAUCUUUUAUACACCCUUAGCCUUAAGGUUGGCUAUGGAUGUAGGCUAAGUAAUUUUUAGGGACAAUAGGUUGACAACAGUUGGUCUUGUAUGUGAAUCUGGCCUCAUAUUUGAAUGGGAUGAUUAUUUGAGGCCUUCUUGGUUUUAGGGGUUGUGGAUAGAAUUAUUUGUGGCAGCAUACUUUUGCUAACUGUAUUAUGCAAGAAUUGGACUCAUAGAUCGGAAAAUUCAUCAUCAGCUGCAGUUUGAAGUACGACAUCCGAAUGGUGAAGUUCUUGUAUAUAGAAGCUGGCAACUAGUUGAACAACAGCUCAGUUUGUAUUCUUUCUACUUUUGACAGUCUUUUUUUUGGAGUAACUAGUUAAUUAAUCAUGUAUAAUUUGAUUAAUUCCCCUCGUACAGUCGAGUCUAAAAAUAAAAAUAAAAAUCAUGUAUAAUUUGAAAGCAAAUUUGGAACACUUUAUUUGAGAAAUAUAGUUUCUUGUUUCUGCAAAUCCAUGUAUUAUUACGAUAUUAAUUGGAUAUAAGCAUCAACUGGAUUUUCCCAAGUGGUCUAUGUUUGUAUUUCUUUCGCUAACAUCAAUUGAGACCAAAACUGGUGCUUCCUGCUCUGGAUUUUUAAGUAAAUCUGAUUGAGUCCAUUUCUUGAGCAAUGUAAUCAACAAAAGCGUGCUUGCUUGGCAGGAGAGACCACAGAUUAUACCAAUCCACAAGCCCUGUACCAAAAUAAAACAGAAAACUGAAUUAAUUGAACUAUUUAACAAAAUAAAUCAAGUUAAAUUCUGCUUGCUGAUAGAUAAAUCAAGAACUACAAGGUUGUCUCACCUUGGCAUAAAGUUUGAACUUAAAUCCAAGCAAAACAGCAAUUGUCAUACCAACGAAGUAAAAUGUUGCCAAGUUUACGUACACAACUAAGUGUUGCCACCCACAUCCUCUAGCCACACCUGAAAACCGGAUAACCAAAUUAACGGACACCAAGAAAAAACGCAGGAAAAAUGUGAAGAUUCAAAUCAAAUAGAACUAUCCCUAUUAGAAAAAGUGGGGAAUUUGAACCUGAAAAGACACCUUGAACAGAAUCAACUAUUAUUGAAAUUGCAAGCAAUGGUGUCAUUGAUGCAAAGUCCUCUUUCAGUACCGCGUAAUUCGCGUUGCUGUCAAUGAAGAAGCCAGCCCAAAUGUUGUGACCACACACAAGAGCCAGAAUAAUUGCAAAAGAAAGAAGCACAGAGAGCUUAAGAUUGACAACCAUUGCAUUCUUAGCUCUGUCCGGAUUGCCUGCUCCUAAUUCAUUUGACACUCUUGUGCUGCCACAAUGUGGACGCUUUGUUUCAAUCCAUGCAAUAGAAAGAGGAUAUCAAAAAACUUAUAAUAAGGGAAUAGAAGAAAGUACUAACCUGGCAGCGGCACUGAGGCCAUAUGUAACCAUGUAACCAAUUUCUUGCGUAUUCACACUGAAUUAUAUUGAACGAAGGCAUGCAGCUUGAGUAAGCCAGAAAUAACCGGUACAUUCGAGGAGAGAAGUCUAAGAAGAAAUAUAUGAAGCUUACCACAUGGCAAGCAGUGAAGUGUUUUUUGCUGAGUUUGGCAUCAAUCCUCCCAUGAACACCAGAAUCUCAAAAGCCCAUUCCUCCAAACUAGAAACGAUGAAAGAAGCAAAUACAAAUUUGGGCUUUAAACUUUAAACAUAAACAUAAUAGAUAAACUUUUGCGUGUCAUUGGCUUUCGUGUUGUUAGGCUAUGAAUCAGAUACAAUGUUAAUCAUAUAGGAUUUUCUCUAAAUGCGUCUCAGUAUAUUGGCAUGAGAACAUUACUUGACAUAACAGUAGUGAAAAUUUUCAGAGGAUUGCACACUUACCAUUCCAUUGUUGCAGAGGGAAGGGCCAGUUUCAAGCCCGUGAGGACAUAAUCGAAAGAUUCGAAUGAAAAUCCUUCCCAUGUGCUCUCAAAGCUCUUUGUACAAUUAACAGUGAAAGCCAGCAUGAGAACAGAUAUCCAUAGUGAAACUGAAGCUGCUAGUGGAGCUCCCUUAAAACCAAGAGUUGUCCAAUGCACAAAACCAUAUGUGAUGCCAAUAUGAAUAACAAUGACAAUCACUGAGAAGACCAUUGGCGUUACAUAUAUAGAUUGUGUCUGAAGAAAUCUCAACAUGUUUUGCAGGAAAGCAUAAGCGAAUAAUCCGGGGAUCAAAAAUUUCAAAAAAAGUGCUGCAGAUUUUGAAAUAUGAGGAUCUUGGUGAAGUAAAAUUAGUAUAGACUCUGUAUAGAGCCAGAUUAUAGAUAUCAAGAAACAGAAGAGGGUCGAUAUGAUGCAAGAAGCUUGUAGAUAAAUUCCCAACGUUCUAUACAAUUUUGCACCAAAGCCUUGCCCGCAAAGUGUUUCAAGAGCUCCACUCAGCCCAACCUAAGAUAAAAAAUGAAAAAGAGAAGACGAGAAUCUUAUUAGAUUAAUGUCUAUAAGUGGCCCACGAAUUGGCUAGGGUUGCGCCAUAAUAGAACAGCUUAAUGACCGAGAAAUUACCACGAAAGCAAAACCAGUAACAUUGGCCCAUGAAUUGGCUAGGGUUGCGCCAGCUAACUGAAGCUCACCAAGGUGGCCAGCAAACAUGACCGAGACCAAUGGGAUCAAGGAAAAGAACACAUUGGUGAGGAUUGUUGGCAAUGAAAAGAAAAUCUGUUUUUUGGCCUCCUCAACAUCUACCAGUUUGUUCCACCACCUUCCUUUUGAUCCUUCUUCUCCAUUCCCACCUGCCUAGCUAUAAUCUGGGUGCAUUAGUAAUAUCUUCAAGUUGAAGAUCUUACACAAGUUUUGAUCUUUUAAUUUCCAGAGUAAUAAUUGCACUCUGAAGUUACACUCAAGGACAGAAUCAGAAUUUCUGAAGAGAGUAAUGUAAUUUAUUUAUUUUUCUAUAAAUUAUUAUUCAUUUUUGUGAGUCAAUUUUUUACAAAUAAAUACAUAAAUAAAUAACAAUACGGCAACGCAAUAACAAAUCAAUUGAUAUAUUUGCACUUGAAAGUUGAAACAUGUAACUAAUAGGAUUGGAACUAUGGUUUUUGAGUAAAGAGGUUGAAAUUGUGAUAUUAUAAAUAGUUUUGCAAUUGAGUUAUAUGUUGUAAAUUGUUAAAUAUAGCUAAGUUUAUAUGCUGUAAAAUUUUGUUUUGUAGUUAAGUUAGGCUGGCUAUAGUCUAGGGGAGUUGGACCUCCACUUUUGGGACAAUAAUGUUAUUUACAUGCACAUAAACUAAUACAUUCUAAUAAACAUACGUAAAAUCAAAUUGUAGUAGAAAGUGUGUAUGCAAAUACGUCAAUUUUUGAGUCUAAAUGACAUUACUCUCUCGUAGUUUGCACUAAAAUGAAUUCUCGAGAAACGAAGUAAUAAGAAAGAAAGGUUGAAUGUCUCACCUUCAACAAUCAUUUUUUCCGCAACCUAGAAGAUCAAUGGAAGAUAUCUAUUAUAAAGUUAAAACUAGUAAAUUAAACUGCUGAGUUGUGAGGAGGAGGAGGUCAAUGACACAACUACAAAGUCCGAGAAAUUUAUAUGGCAAAAGAGGCAUAUAUAUAUAGUCUGAAUAUUGUCGUAGAAAUUAAGUAGACUAACGAUAGACUUUUCUAUUCUUUUCUGAUCAGUUGAAUGCAACCAUAAUCCUUGAUUUAGUUUUAAGAACUUCAAUUAUAGACUUUUUUCCUGGUAUAUUUUCUUUUUUCGGUCCAACCUUUCUGGUACAUUCUUCAGUCGUAGACUUUUGGAUCCGCUUCUUUAUAUAUGAAAUUGGUACAGUACUUAUCCUUAAUGUUUGGCAAAAUUCCUAACUCAAAAAGUCGAUGGGGCUAGGGAACAGAUUCGAACCUAACCCUAAUGUAAACAUCCCCAUCCCUUAACAUACAACUAAAAUCUAAACAUUGUGUUUGGCAAAAAAAAAAAAAAAAAAAAAAAAAAAAACAAAUUCAUACGUAUGAGGAUCCUUUGUAGGGAUCAUUCUACAUUGUAUUUUAACAAUCCAACUAUCUAUUUUUAGGUUUAUCUUAAAAAAAUCAUCUCUACAAAACAUCUCCCAAAUCCGACUACUUGACCGUUAGAUUAUAGAGAGUUUUAAUGAAAACGGCUCCUACUUACAUAAUUUUUCUUAAACAAAAGCAUCUUAAUAGCCUUAUUUAAUGAAUAAGAUAAAAAAAAAAUUAAUACACACCAACUCAAAUUUGUUUUAAAGGUUCUUUCAAGCGUGGCCGUAGGAUGGAUGUGGCAAAAGCUCGUCUUGUAUGUGAAAUUGUGAAUCUAGCCACAUGUAUGAAUGAGGUGAUUAUUUCAGGCAUUCUUGGUUUCAAGACCAAGUUUCAUACCAAGGUGAGACUGAGACAUUUGUAGAUAAGUUGAAUUGUUUCGUUGUACUGAGUUACCCAAUCGAUCUAGUAUGGUUUUAGGGCCGUGGAUUAAAUUAACCUGUGGAAUCUCCUGCCAAAUGCGCAUACUUUUGUUAAUUGUACCAUGCAAGAAUUGGACUCCUCGAUCAGACAUUACCUGAUAGAAAAUUCAUGAGGGCUCCUAUGCAAUGUGAAAUUCAUGAGCUGCAGUUUCAAGUACAACUACUGAAUGGUGAAGUUCUUGCAUUCUUUCUUCUUUUUACAGUCUUUUGUUUGGAUUAACUAGUUAAUUCGUCAUUUCCAAAUGGAACACAUGCCAUAUGGUACGUAAGUUUGUUAUUAUGAAUUUACAAUAAUGAUGAUUAUGGAAAAUCCUGAUUAAAAAGUUAAGCUGUCAAACGGGACAGCCUAGGCCACUUAUGAAACAAAUUGUGUUUGGGCCGACCCACUUAAUAAAACAUUAAACCCCGUGAAGUGAUAUUACAGUUCAAUUGGUAUAAUAUAUAAUGAGUGCUAAUAAACUCACCAUAUUGUCUUAUUUUUUUCACCCACAUUUAGUAUAAUUUUAAUGCCAAUUUUACCCUCUUGUAAAAUGACAUGUAAGGACCAAUUACAACUCUAUUAAUCCUUGAAACUAAUUGAACUUUUUUAGUCAUGUUUGUUGUGGCCUAUUUUAUCUGACAAGGAAAGGGGGCCAGCGACAUAGAGAGAAAAUUGAGAGAUGUGUUUGUAGAAUUGUGUAGAGGAAUGUGUUUGUUAUCCCCCUUACGUAGUGCCUUUAUUUAUAGUAAUAACAGAGAGAAGAAAUCAUUCUCCUCCAAGGAAUACAAGUUCAUAUAGGAAAGAAUAACUAGAAUCAAAUCAAAUCUAGGAUUUACACAAUCACACUUAAACUAGAAUAGUUUAUAACACUCCCCCUUGAGUGUGUGAAUACUCAAGUAGAUUCGACAUCAUGUAGAGGUUGAGGAAGUUGACUCGUCAGCACUGAUUCUGGGAACACAUUAUUCUCACUAAGGUAGGAACUUGCUAAGGAAGUCUCACAAAAAAACCCUAUGGCUAUGGUAAAAACCCAAGUAGGGACAAAACUCAUAGUCUAAGGAAAAAUGCGUUAGAAAUACAAAGUCAAAUGAAACAUCUACGGGACGUCAUCAGGGAUAUGGUCAACUCAAUGUGGGUGCCAGUGGAAAAAAUGCUCCUAAUCGUAGGGAAAAAUAGUACAUUAAGAUCAAGCAAGUAUACUUCAGGAUACUCCCCUAUAGUUUGACACAAUUCUAAAGAGACCUAGCAAUGUUAUAACUCAGAAAGUUUACGCAUACCAAUUCCUUGAACAAGCGUCUGAAAUGUCGCAUUCGGUAGUGAUUUGGUGAAGAGGUCAGCCAGAUUAUCUUGUGAACAGAUUUGCGUGACUUCAAUCUUUUGAUGCUCUUGUUGUUGAUUGAGAACUUUGGUGCAAUGUGCUUGGUGUUGUUUCCUUUAAUGUAACCUUUCUUGAGUUGUUCGAUGCAUGCUGCGUUGUCUUCAUAAAUCGUCGCCAGGACAUCAACGACGAGGUAAAGAUCACAAGAGCUUCGAAUAUGGCCCACAAUUGCUCUCAACCAAAAGCAUUCCUGAGUUGCUUCAUGUAAGGCGAGAAUUUUAGCAUGGUUAAACGAAGUGGCAACUAAGGUUUGUUUAGUUAACUUCUAAGAGAUUGCGGUGCCUCAAAUAGUAAAGACAUAACCCGUUUAAGAGCGUGCCUUGUACGAAUCAGAUAAGUAUCCUACGUCGGCAUAACCAACAAGGCAAGAAUCGACUUGAGAUAAGGGGGUGCGGCAUUACUCGAGGAUCCAUAAGGAUAAAACAAGCCCAAAUCCAUAGUACCCUUAAGGUGGUGGAAAAUAUCUUUAACACCAGUCCAAUGUCUGCAUGUUGGUGCAUUACUGUAUCUUGCCAAAAGAUUAACAUCGAAGGAGAUGUCGGGUCUAGUGCAUUGAACUAAGUACAAUAAAGCACCUAUCGCACUUAGAUAAGCAACUUCAGGCUCCAAAAUCUCUUCAUCAUCUUUCUUUAGACGGAAGGGAUCUUGUUUUGCAUCCAGCUAUCGAACGACCAUAUAAGUACUCAAAAGCUUUGCUUUAUCAUCAUUAAAGCAGUGCAACACAUUCUGGGUGUAGUUUGUUUAACAUAUUAAGAUUUCAUUUGAACGAUGCUUUAUCUCGAGAUCGAGACAGUAUCAGUCCUAAAUCUUUCAUCUCAAAUUCUGACUUCAAGUGUGUGGCAGUUCUCGCAAGCUCUUCAAGAGUUCCGAUAAGGUUCAUGUCAUCGACAUAUACUGCAACAAUUACAAAACCGAAAUGUGACUUCUUAAUGAACACACAAGGGUAUAGUUAGUUGUUCAUAUAUCCCUAACUAGUCAAAUACUCAUUCAGACGGUUAUACCCUAUUCUUCUGGAUUGCUUCAAGCCGUAGAGUAAAUGCCUCAGCCGAAUUGAGAUCGUGUUCCGGGGUUUGGAAAUAUUUGAUUCAGUCAAUGUAAGUCCUUCAGGAACUUUCAUAUAAAUUUCCGUAUCAAGAUUCCCAAAGAGAUUCGGAGUUACUACAUCCAUCAGCUGCAUACUCAAUUUUUUGGAAACUACCAAAUUGAUAAGGUAUCGAAAAGUAAUCACAUCCAUAACGGGUGAAUAAUUUUCGUCAUAGUCAAUCUUUGGGCGUUGUGAGAAGCCUUGCAUAACAAGACGAGCUUUGUAACGCACAAUUUUGUUCUUCUCAUUAUGUUUCUGAACGAAAACCCACUUGUAGCCAACGUGCUUCACAUGUGGAGGAGUAGAAGCUAUAGGUCUAAACACCUUACAUUUUGCAAGCGAAAUAAGUUUGACUUGGAUUGCUUGUUUCCAGUUUGACCAAUAAGUUAUACGUCGACAUUCAUCAACAGAAUGGGGUUCAAUGUCAUCGCUCAACAUGACCUACUAUAUACACUAAUGCAUCAUCAACGAUCAUCUCAUUUCUACACCAAACAUCAUUUAAGCUAGCAUAAUAGACCGAAAUCUCAUGAUUCUCGGAAGGUGGAUUUGUCUCUUCAAGGAUGCUUCCGUAAUCUAAAAUUUCCUCAUAAGUUAGAUAUAAUGAGUAAGCAACAAUCGGAUUCACGGUAGGCUCUUCAGAUGCAUGUGCCAUAGGUUUCCUCUUCUGGGGGUGUGAAUCCUUUAAGCCAAGAGGUUUGCCAUGCUUAUGUGUAGGGGCAAAUGAUUAGCUAGCUUCUAAUGUACGUGGAUCGCCAAAGUUGGCGUCCCGGGCCUCCAAGAGGGAAGUCUGUCGUACAUUUGGUAUAUCCAUCUUUGCAGGCAUAUUCACAGCUGAAAUUUGUGAUGUUGUCACUCAUGCUAGAUCGGUGAAAGCAUUUGGCAUGCUCUAAGCUAUGCUCUAAAGAUCUAAUAUGUGUUGCACUUCAGUCUUAGAUUGAGCGGUGAGGGGAUCUAAGUAGCGAAUAAUCGAAGAAGAACCAUAUCGGACAUAGAUUCCCAUCUUACGUUGAGGCCCCAUUUUUGUAUGCAAAUGCCGCGAAAUAGGCACAUAGACCGCACAACAAAAAACACGCAUAUGCGAUAUGUCAAGUUCGUAUUCGGUAACCAACUGAAUGGCGCUAUAUGGUUGGGUCACAACAAACCUUAGGCAGACCAACAUGGCUGCGUACAAUAUUGCAUGGCCUCAAGCAGCGAACGAGAGCUUGGUACGUAUGACUAACGAUUGAGCAAUCAUUUGUAAGUGUUUAAUGAAUGCAUCUGCCAGGCCAUUCUAGGUGUGAACAUGGGGUAAAUAAUGUUCAACUUCAACCUCAACUGACAUGCAAUAGUCAUCAAAAGUUUUAGAUGUGAAUUCUCCAGAUUAUCCAUUCGAAUAGAUUUGAUCGGAUAAUCAUCGUGGUGAGUCCUGAGCUUGAUAACAUGAGCCAACAGUUUAUAGAAUGCAGCUUUUCUUGUGGACAACAAGCACACGUGUGACCAACAUGUGGAAGCGUCAACCAAAACCAUAAAAUAUCUAAAUGAUCCGUAUGAAGGGUGAAUCGGUCCAUAAAUGUCCCCCUAAAUCCUUUGUAGAAAAAUAGAAGGAUUUGAACAAAUCUUGUCAUAAGAAGGCUUAAUAAUAAGCUUUCCUAUGGAGCAUGUUUGACAUGCGAUUCCUUGAAUUGAACCUAAACUUCAAGUUAGUGGAUGCCCGUGUGGUGAUUUGAGGAUACGGCGCAUCGCUGUUUGUCCAGGGUUCACAAACGAUCAUGCCAAAGUGUAAUUUCGUGCGCGGUCCAAGAGGUAGGGCCAGCCACAAAGUGGCUUUCUAUAGGGCAUAUGGUCGUAGUAUACAGACCACUCAGGAUACGCUCUGUAUUCUCUAGAAUAUGCUUCUGGCCAUAUUCGUAGGAAGUUAUGCAUAGAAAUUCAACUUCAUUUUCUACAUAGGUUUUAGUGUGGUAAUUAUUAUCUCUACUGUUCUUUAAACUCAACAACGUUCUUUCGAAACAAAGGGAAUAAAGUGCCUCAUCAAUGGUCAAAAUUGUACCAUCGGACAACAUUAUAUGUGCCUUACCGUAUCCUUCGAUCAGGUUGGAUGGGCCUGAGAAGGUUGUCAGAAGUGCAUUUUUAGAUAUGAAGUUAGUAAAAUAGAUGCGUUCAAGUAAAACGGUGUGCAUGGUUGUACUAUCUACCAGACAACUAACUUCCUCACUAGUCAUACCUAGAAUGAAAAUUAAUUUGAAUCGGUCACAUGCAUAAAAGUUCUAAAAACAAAUAUCCAUUCAAAAUAAUUUUAAGUAUUCAAGUAUGGUAAUUAAUUAAAUAUUAAUACCCAAAAACAAAUCACCAACAAAUAAUCCAAACAUAAAGGAAAAUUGUUCAAAAUUUAACUAAAAACACAAGGGUUUGGCCACUAAGUGGAAUUCGGCCCAAAUGUCUAAAUUUCAACUAGAAAAAUAGUUUAUGUCUAAGAUUCUAAUCUUCCAUAGGGGUAAUAGCCUUUUGAAAGUUAGAAACCUUCAUCUUGGUACUAUCCGGUUCAUCCACUUAGACAAAGUUUGAUUCAAACUGCUUACGACAAGAAUCAUAUUCAACUGCAACCUUCUGAGGACCUCGGCAAACAAAGGACCAAUGGUCAUUUGAACCAUAACGAUAGCACAUAUCCGCAUCCAUGGUUUCAUGUGCUUUACCCUUAUUCUUGAAGUUUGGGGCCUUGGGAGCGAGGUUAGGGCAUUUCUAGUCUUUAUUUCCUCCCUUAGAUGGCCAUUGGCUUUGUUGACCUUGACGGGGUGGCUUCUGGCCGCCUCUACCACGCCUAUGUUGGCAUUUUGGGCGUUUGUUUGUGUUAUAGUGUGCUUUAGGCACAUCAGUUGCCACAGUAAAUCGAGCUUGAUGAUUCUUCAUCAACAGCUGAUUCUGCUUUUCAGAGAGAAGUAAAACAGAGAUCAAAUCCAAAAACUUAGUGAACUUCUGAGCUCUAUAUUAUUAUUGCAUGACAAUAUUAGUAGCAGAAAAAGUCGAAUAGGUCUUAUCCAAGAGAUCCUUUUUGGUCAAGUUUUCGUUACAAAACUUAUGAAGUGAUAAGAUUCAACAAACUUCAGAAUUAUACUUAUUCACAGACUUAAAAACUUGGAAGCACAAAUGCUGCCAGUUGAUAGGAUUAAAAGCACACCACAAAGUAGCACACAAAUGUCCUAUUGAUUUUCCUUAUUAACACUAAGAUUUUUAAAUUGUAGCAUAUGAAAAUAAGGGUCUUUCCCGCAAAAGAUUGUUUUAUCUAACUACUUAAAAUGUCACAAAAACUGGGCUGCUGUCCCUACUGGCCAGUCACCAAAACAUAAUUAUUAGACCAACUUACACUUAUCUAAAUUCUAUGAAAUUUUAUAUGAAGACACUAGACACACAAAGCUACGCUCACACAAUUUUUUGGGAUUUUUGGAGUUGAUUUGCUAUUAAAUUAAAUCGAACAAAAACAAGACAGAAACAAAUUUUAAAUAGUUCACAAAUUAAAAAAAAAAUGAGUUAGGGGAAUUGCUAUCCACCACCAAAUAAUCAUGCAAACAUGUUAUGUUUCAUUCAAAUUCCAUUUAUUUCCGGAUAAAGAUUCUCAAGUUGGCUCAAUGUUAGAACUCAACCUAUUACUCUUUCUUAUGUAGUAUGUUAAGAGAAUAACGUUUUCAACUUAACUUAGUCCCUAGCAUGCAAUCUAGAAUGGCAUGUUCAUAGAUUUAACAAGUAGAAAUCAUUAAGAACAAAAAGAGUUUGAGUCAUCACAAGGCAUUGUAAGUACUAGCGUUGUCUUACUUAUCCUAGAAAUUGGUUCACAUGUUAAUCGCAAUUAACAAGUACUACUUCAGAACAUAUGUAGGUCCUCAUUCGACAAGGGCAGGCACACACAUAUUCAUAGCAUUAGAAUCCUAGAUAUGCUUACUAAGUAUGCAUCGAUAGAAAAUAAAUAAAGAAUUCAUCAAUGAGACAAGUAGUGAAACAAUUUUCAUCCAUUCAUAAAAGUAAUUCAAACGAAAUGUCAUAACAAACUUGCAAUUAUAUUCGGGGCUUCAAAACAGCCCCUAACUACUAAAAAUUUAGUUACACACAAUCCUUAAGUUAAAACAAAAGAUGGACAUGAGUUUGAGAAGAUAGAACCGAAAAAAAUCGACCGAGGCCUCCUCCUCCUUUCCUUCCUUCCCCAACGCUGUUUUUAAACCAAUUCUUACUGUAUCAUUUUUUUCUCCUUAACUCACCCACUAAUAGCAAUUUAAUGAUGACAAUAAGUGAGAGGAAAUUGUAAAACAAUUGUAACUCUUUAGGUAGCCUUUAUGCCAAUUACUCCCUCUUAAUCCUCAUCUUCAAUUCCAUUCCCUUUUAUAUUUGAAUAAGUGUCAGCUGACUUGUUCUUGGCUGCAUCAGUUUUGGCUGCUAGAUUUAUUGGGUUUAUUGCUUUCAUUGCAGUUAUAAACUGCUCAGCCUCUUGGUAACCUUUCAGUGUUAAAACGGCCAUAACUUCUUCUAAGAACAUGAUAUUAGCAAUCCGUGAAAUGCUCCAGAAAAUAGACAUCCAUAGCUUUCUAAAAAUAUAAGGCUCAUUCUCUAAUUCGUUCUGAGCUGUUCGCAACUUGCUUCCAAUGUUAGCUGAUCUGCACAGGCAGUUUUGACGAAUUUGUCACUUAAAAUCCCACUUGUGCUAUUUUUCUUUUCUUUGCUUGAAAAAUCCCACAAAACACAAAAACAAAGUAAAUACCUCAAAAAGAUAAGGAACUAACUAAGAAAAGACAAGUGAAUUUGAUGUAAAAUAUAUAUAAAUGUGAGCUUAUCACCAGUCAUGUCUUGCUUCAAGCAAGAAGAUGUCAUUUUGGUGAUGAAAACGAUCAGCCAAAGUGACCCAUAGUUCUCAUGGAUCAUUCUCAGCAAGGUACUUGGUUUGCAAUGCGUGAUGAAUAUGUCUUCGGAUGAAGAUCAUGGUAGUGGCUUUCUCAGCUUUGCCAACUGGGUUGUCCAUUUCAUCUUCAAUGGCGGGACGCAAAUUCUUUGCAGUGAGGUGAAGCUUCACAUCUUGGACCCACUUGAGGUAUUUUAUUCUAGAGACUUCCAAAGCGGUGAAGUCGAGUUUGUUCAAAUUCGACAUGUUCCUAUCACAAAAUAGAUAGCUAAGAUGUGGUUAGUGUAAUGGAGAAGAAUAUCAAUCCAUUCACAUAGGAGUAGAACAUUUAGGUUCUAAUAGACAUGUAUUAGUUUAAAUUUGCAUGAAAAAGCUUUGGGUUUUCAUGGGUGAUGUUUUUAUGGAAAACUUCAGGUUUUGAAACAAGGCAUGUUUAUAGAAACUUUAAGUUUUGAAAUAAUUAUGACCUUCAAGUUCAUAAGAUCCUACAGCCAAAUGCAAAUAUAUAUACAGAAAUAUGCAACAAGGAAAUAUGCAAAUAGUUCAAGUCUAUAAUUAUAAUUGAAUUAAUUAUUUGAACUUCGGGCCAAAUUUAAAGUGUGGGUGAAAAAUUAUAAAACCCAAAAUUACCUAAAAAAAAAGGCAAUAAACACUCGGGGCCCAAAAUAAUGGGUGAGCUGAGUAGUUUGAAACGUGCAGCCUAGGCCCAAAAAUUGGGUUGGGUUCGGUUCUGUUGGGCUACAAACCCAAGACAGAUAUGCACGGAUUCGCUGCUUCGCAACAUAUGUGUUCCUGGGGAGGGGGAGGGGGUGCGAUCGAGUGCAUCGCAAGCCAGGUGUACCGAAUCACCAACUAUGGGUUAGGAUUUGGUGCGGUUGGGUGCAUGGAACUCAGAAAGCCCUUCAGAGGCUUGGUUCUGCUGCGGUGGGGACAUGGGGACACCAAAGCCACGGGCUGAGUCCAAUAAAGGCCUAAUUGGGCUCUAUGAUACGGGCUAAAAGAAGUGUCCAAGCCCAAAGGGUUGAAACUUUGUCGAGAAACAGCCCAAGCCCAAGUGGGCUUGGGUUUUUGAUCUAGACACCCCAUCUCAAGCUAAGUGAACUCGUCGGAGAAGAAUACCGGCGCCACUGCUUCAGACGAUCGUGUCGUGGUGCAAAAAAUCACGACGAAGGCCUUGGGUUCAACAACAAUGCAUAAAACGAAAUAGAGAGUGAAAAACUAUCAACGUUGUAAAACCCUAGAAAUUUGUGAUAUGAAUUUCAAAGAAAACAUCGAAUUUCAAGCAAAGACUCAUCGGUGACGACUGCAGGUCGUCAGGGAGGUAGUUGGAAGUGGCUGGGCAUGGCUACAGGCCAUGCUACUCCAAGGUUCAAGGGAGGUGAUGCUAUUUGAGCGUUGGGUUUAGGGAUCGGGCCUAGAGUCGUGGCUCCAGGUUCGGGUUCUUGUCUUGUGGGAAAAAAAGCCUAACAACAUGGAUGGGUUUUCAAAAAAACCCUAAAAAAAACUUUAUAAUAACUUUUUUUUCAAUUUCAUAUUAAUUCAAUGCAUAUUCAUAAAAUAAUUUGAUGCAUGAGUAGAUAUUUGAUGCAAUUCAUGGCAAUAUCAAAUUCACAUAACUCAACAAUUAUGGAUAUAAUGCAUACACAAUUUAUGUAUAAUCUAAAAUUCGAAAAACAUAAAGUUGGGUCAUGUAUUAUGGUGAAUGUUCAUGCUAUCAGGGCUGUAAAAAUAUCGAGAUAAAAAUCGUUGUUUUGGAAGAACCUGGCUGCGUGAUGAUAUUGGUGAACUGGUUUGAUGCAGAAAACUUCCACGUCAGACUCCUAAGCACAAUAGUAGAAGCGUGCUGAUAACAUGUUGUGGCCUAUUUUAUCUGACAAGGGAAGGGGCCCGGCGACACAGAGAGAGAAAACUAAAAUCAAAUCUAAUCUAGGAUUUACACAAUCACACUUAAACUAGAAGUUUUAACAAUGUUAAUACUAAUUCUACUAAAUUUAUGUUUUAAGAGAAAACGAGAAAGUUUUAGUACACUAGUAGAAAAAAUAGUUUGCGCGACGAACAAUAUUUCAUUGCACAAGACGUAUUUGUGUGACGGAAAAAAUGUUUCAUCUCGCAAAAUAGACAGGAUAGGGAAAAAAAAUUGCACGACGAAAAUGUUCAUCGCGUAAAGUCAGCAAGAAAAAGCAGGGUAGUUUUUUUUGGCGUGAAAAACUUGCGCGAUGAAAAGGGGACAUUUGCAUGACCAAGGAUUCGUCGCUCAAGUUCCUGUCAGUUGUGACCAUUCACUACAGGUGAAUAAGAGGAAUCAAUACUGCAUUUAAUACAAAUGUUUGCGCGACAAAGCCUUCAUCGCGUAAAUGCCCUAACCUUCCUAUAAAUAUGCGCUUCUGCUGUCUUUAUUCUUCACAAUUCUGUUCUCUUUAUUCUUCAAGAACAGAUGGAGGACAAAAAUAAGGAUCAGAGCAUGCAUGUCGCCAACCCAAAUGAUUUGAGGCAACAUUUUGAGUUCGCACAUACGAUUGCUAUAGCCAUAGGGAAUAAUUGUCCCACUGCUGAGUGGCGUUCUUGGAAAGAUGUGCCUGUGAAUAUGAAGAAGGCUAUGAUGGAUGAACUAUUAGGAAGUAUAUUGUUGAUGGAUCAAUAAUUAAGUUUGUGAAAUUUUUAGUUAUAUGUUGGAAUUAAUUAUUUGCACAUAUGUGUAACAAUGUAAGUAUAAUGUUGAUGAUGAUACGAACGAACAGUUGAUGAAGUUGAUGGACGAUGCAUUGGAAAGAGGUUACAAUCGGUGGCGUUAUGAAGUCUUGCGGAAUGGACCAGAACCAUCGAAAUAAUAGUUUUAAAUUUAUGUUUUUUAUGACAAUAUUUAAAUUUGAGGUUUUUUUUUUAUAAGUUAUGCAUUUGGACUUAAUUAGGUUUUAAUUCCUGUUUGGUUUUUUUAUUGAGGCCUAAUGUAAGCACCCUAUCCUCCGUUUGUAUGUGUUUUCAAUCUUGGUACUUAUGCUCAAAAUAAUUUUAUGGAUUUAGGCAUUAAUUAUUUAUAGAAUAAAUAUUUAAGAUAUUAAUUAUUUAUAGAAUAAAUAUUUAAAGUAUUACUUAUUUUUAGAAUAAAUAUUUAAUUGAAUAUUUGUUUGUAAACUUUAUAAUUACAAUCAUUUCAUUCGUCGCUAAAUAUAUUGCGCGAUGCUAUGCUCUUCGCAUAAGAUUACUUUGCGUGACGAAUAGCAAGUGUUUGUCACGCAAAGUACGGUCAUAUUGUGUUCAAACCUUCCCAUUUAUUGUGCAUUUAUGACGCAUUUUGUGCGACGAACAUAGAGAUUUGUGCAACUAAUGGGUUCAUCGCACAAAGGUAUCCUAGUGCUAUAUAAACGCAGUUUCAGAACCCUAGUUUUCAAAAAAAUUUGUUUAAAAAGGAAUGGCCGAUUAUGGAGAAGGUUAUGGCAAAAAGAAACUUGUAGUGCAAUCAGAGAGAUAUCGACGGAAGUAAGUGCCGUACUUUGGAGGUAAAAAUAUGGUUGAGGCGUACGCCGAAUUUGUGCAUGACAUUGGAAAUUUGGUGCGGAGGAUUGUUCUGCCGAGUAUGAGUCUUGGAAAAUGGUCCCUGAGGAGUUGAAGAAGUCCAUGGUACGGGAGUUAUCGGUAAGUUUGUAGUAAAUAAUGAACAAUUAUUUUUGUUAAAACGUAAUAUUUUUUAAAUUACUAAUUUAUUGUUAUUGGCAUUAUUGUAGGUUCAUUAGGAUGUUGAUCAAACUAAUGAGAAGCAACGGAUUUAUGUGAAUGGGCUUUUCAAGCAGAGUUUCCGACGGUGGAAGUUUGAUGUGUUGCAGGCGAAUGAGGAUUGAAGUUGAAGAGAGUUUAUGGAUGAAUAGGGAUGUGAUAAAGCCAUAAGGGAUCUUGCAUUUUUUUCCAUGAAACCGAAUGACAAAAAAGAGUUUUUAAAGUUUGUAUUGUCUGUAAAGUUUCCUGAUGGGUAUGUUUCUAAUAUCGCGUGUUGCAUGAAUGUUGAUGAAGGUAAAUUUGUUGGACUAAAGAGCCAUGACUGCUAUGUGUUUAUGCAACGCCUACUUCCUGUUGGUAUUCGACACCUAUUGUCGAAAGAUGUAGUGAAGCCAAUCAUGUUGUUGUCCAGAUUUUUUUUCCUAACUGACGGCAAGAACGUUGCAAAAGACGGACGUUAAUCAGUUGCGCCAUGACAUUGUCCAAGUCCUAUGUAAGUUUAAGAUGAUAUUCCCUCCAGCUUUCUUCACAAGUAUGAUCCAUGUGAUGGUUCACUUGCCCGAAGAGGCAUUGCUUGCUGGUCCUGUCAACUAUUGCUAGAUGUAUCCAAUAAAAAGGUAUAUAAUCCUCAUCAUUUAUUUAUGCAUCAUUAGCCCAUGCUUACUAAUGUGUAUCUUAUCAUUUUAUUUUGGCAAGCUUCUCAGGGUGCUGAAAAAAAGUGUACACAAUAGGGCAAAGCCCGAAUGAUCAAUUAUAGAGGCUUGGGUUCAAUAUGAGUCACUUACUUUUGUGGAAUGUAUUUAAAAGAUGUGGAGACGACUUUCAAUCGUCCUUAGCGCAAUAAUGAUGGGGGUGUGAGAAAGGAGAAACUUUCUAUUUUUGCCCAAAGCGCACAACCAUUUGGAGAUCCAGUACGAGGCGAGUCGUUUUCCAAAAAUGACAUAAAGGUAGUGAAUUGGUUCGUACUGAACAAUUGUGACGAGAUAAUGGCAUACUUAAAUGACAUGUAUGUUUUUGUAUAAUAUUAGGUGAAUAAAUUGAAAGCAUCGAAUUCCUCCACUUACAUUGAAGUGUUAUAUAACUUGGCGUUCGACUUAAUUAUCGCUGAAUUGUUCUCGGGUUGGCAAGUUAACGGCGUUAAGUUUUUGGGGACUGGACGAGAUGACAAGUUAUGUAUGCAAAACAGUGGUGUCCAUGUCCCAGGUGGAGGUGAAAGUAUAGACAUUGAUUUCUAUGGUAAACUAACAAUUGUCGUGCAGUUGCUUUACAAAGACCGAUACCAAGUGAGCAUGUUUAAGUGUCGAUGGUUUGAUACAAACCCAAAUAGGCAGGGAAGUGUUAAAAUUAACCAUGGCUUACUAUCUGUGAACAUUAACAGAACUUGGUACGAUGACAACCUUUACAUUUUGGCAAACAUGGCAAAACAGAUUGUGUAUCUAGAUGACCCUAAAGCCGGGAGAGGUUGGAAAGUUGUUCAGAAGAUGGAUCAGAGAAACGUGUAUGCUAUAGUAGAACAAGACCCAACUGACGACGACGUCGACAAAGUCGCUGACCAACGUUUAGAAUCUUCAAUGGAAAAUGAUGCGGAAACACUUCGAGAUACAACUCUUAUCCAAGAACAGUUUUAGAUACAAGGAGUAUCUUCAAUCGAAAUACUGAUUUAGUAAAUUACAAUUGACCUCGGUGAUCUUCCGUGAUACGAUGUUGCAGUGGGCCCGAACGACGACGAUAACUUAGUUAUCGAAAAGGAGGAUUGGGAUACCGAAAAUGUGGUAGUGACGAUAGCGAAAGUUAUAUAUUAUAGUUCAGAUGCUAAAUAAUGCAAUUUAUUUGCGACUUGCCAUGUAAAACAUAGUAAAUGAAUUUUUUUUUGUAAUUUAAUUAUCUUAUGUCAUAAAUAAAUUGGUUUUAUUUGAAUAAAUAUAAAUUUUUAAAAAUUUACCUGGAUAAAUUAAAUUUUCAGCUCAUUGCGCGACAAACAAAAUAUUAUUCGUAGUGCGAAUGGCAUUUCCGCGACAAUUAAUGACUCUUUGUCACGCAAUGUGCUGAAAAUUUGGAGUGCAUGAAAAUAAUUUUGUGAAAAUUUAAAUUUAUUUCAGGACGAAUAUCUUUUGUUCGUCGCACAAUAACCUCGGGAUUAAACUGAAAUCACAAACACUUGCCCACUUUCCCCUCACCUCUCCUCUCUGUAAACUCUCCCUCUAUUGACCAUCUCCCUCAACUCUCCCUCGCACUCUCUUCCUCCUCCGGCAACCCUCUCUCUUCCACCUCCGACAUCGCUUUCCCUCUGUGGUAAAUUUCAUGAAACUUAACUCUACUCAAAUUAGGAAUUAGGGUUCUAAUGUUUUGAAUAAUUUCUUUGAUUUGAUGAUUGCUUUGAAUUAAGGUUUAGAACUAGGGUUCUAAUCUGACCAGGAAGAAUGGGUCUAAAACACACAUGCAAACACAAAGUGAAGUUUAAAACUCCAAUUAAGAAAAAAAUUUAAAAAUACUCAAUUCAAGUCAUAAAACCCUAACUUCAGGAAACCCUUAAUUCAAAAUUCCAAACAAUAACAUAUGUAACAACCCGUCCCGAUUUUAAUCCGAACGAAAGAAGUAUUUCGUGAAAUUGCAUCUUAAACUAGAUCUUUUCCUUUAAAAUUGUUUUUGGGUGUUAAAUGGUGUGCCCAAGGGGCCCACCGUUGAUCUUUGUCCCCCCAGUCCCUCUUCCCUUUUUCCUUUUCGACCUGUGCGUCCUCACUCUCCCUUAUUUCUCCCGCUCUUUUUCUUCCCUUUCUCUCUCUUUCUUUAUUUCUAUCUCAGUUCUCUCUCCCCUAGCAAGUCUUUUCUCUCCCUUCUUCCAUAGCUAGCACCGAGAUGGUGCUUUGGAGACAACCACCAGAUGUCACCCUCACAUGUGGGAUGUUCCUCAUCCCUCUUAGACUCUCACUUCAAUCUCUCAACUCUGCAACUGCAUCACCGCGGCUGAGCCACCUUGUUCGACAGCGAUUAUCGAUUCCCUGGCGUGAGAGUAAGGUUCUAGACCUUUGAAUUAAUCCUUCCUUCAUCUCUAGUUGUUGACUAAACUUUUGUACACGUUUUAGAUGUCAAACCACGAAGAAACCACCUCGGUGGAGUUUCUCCACGUUUUUCGGCAAGGAGCACCACCCAUUUCGAGGCAAUUUUCGGCCAAACCACAGCGAGUUGGCUGACGUGCAAGGUAUCAAUCUCUGCGUCUCGCUAAGUACUACAACUUUCCUUUUGUUUCAUCCAAUUUCGUUGAGUAUUGAAGAAGUUAUAUCCAUUUGAAUCUUCCGGCGACCUCCGUGGCUUUCAAGGCAUUUUCCGGCCAAACCACGGCUAGUUAGACAUCGUGCGAGGUACCAUUCUCUUCGUCUCUUCGAGAGCUAUGGUUUCCGUUUUGAAUCAUUUGAUUUCAUUGAGUAUUGACAAAGUUAUGAAUGUUUAAAGUUAGGGAAGUUUCCGGCCAAUUUCCAGCAUUCUUUCACCCAAUUUCUUUUUCGUUAAAGUUCCCUUAAUUUAAUGAAUGUUUUUGAAACGGUGCAUCUUACUCGGACCAAAAUAUUCCAGGCAAUGAACAGAAUAGAAGGCACUGAAGAGACACAGAACAGUAACUGGGGAACUAAUUUAAGCAACAGCAUCCCUUUAACCAAAAGGUGCAAAAUACCUAAGCUUACAUAGCAGUCACAACAUUUCUUCUGAAAAAAAUAAACACAUGGAAAUUUCUGAAGUUGAAUUUUGGGUCAAUUAUCUUUUCUUUUUACCAUAAGGGGCAACAAGUACCAGACGACACACAUUACCUCUCACUUCCCCUUUUCUGAAAAUAUGAACUUGGAUCACACUUUGCUUCACAAACUCAAAAACUAUGGUGUCCCCAAGUGAAAUUUGGUUGGCUUUACCGCAUUCUCUCCAACCUGUUGACAGAUUCAAAUAAUCGAAACGAUCAGUGUAAUGGGUUCUGAGUCGAACAAACCAUGAUCUUCCAUCUGGAUCUUGAAGUGUUACGGAAUCCUUGUCCGUGAGGCCUUCAUCUAAGGCUAGUUGCUUUGGAAUCCUCUGCAAUUUGGAACAUCUAUGGAUAAAUUUGCUUGAAACUUGACCACGAAACUAAAAACUAAAAACAUAUUCGUGCUAGAGGAUUUUUCAUGUAAACGAUUCAUAAUCUUAGUGCUCACGCCUCAAACUAAUAAUAUAGUGCACCCCCAAGAAGUUGAAUUUUGAGGAAAUAUUUUUGAAUAUGAUUUUCCAAUAAACUUCCACAAUGCAACUUAACUACUAUAUUUCAUCUUCAUGGAUAAUAUUUAGAGAACUUUAACGAAAAGCUUACGGUACUGUUCAUUUUAAUGAAAAAGUAUAUUUUUACACUAAAAAGUCAAUCAUAUUACUCUUCACUUUACCAUUUAUCUGAGUCAUUGAAAGAUAUUCCAAGGAUCUCUAUCACUGUUUUCCAAUUACAAUCGCGGAAAAUUUUCAGAAACAUAAAUUGACUUUGGAAAUAGGUGUCAAGGUACUCACCACAUUAUAUAGACGAUUCCGAUGGUUUAAGAAGUGUAGAAAACAUGGAUUCUCUGUUUCCAACAGGAUGGAUGCUGUUGAUGUAUCUUCAACAUAAUUACUUACUGGUCUCUUUCGAGAUUUGAGAUGAUCGCCUAUACAAUCAAAAUUCGAGACACAAUUUAAGACGAAAGGAGUGACAAAAAAUAAUGUUAGAGAUCACUAAUACAAAUCUUUCCUAGAUGCAGAGAAGUAAAAUAGUGCAAAACUUACAACUCCAGCUAGAAAAUAUCAUUUGCUUUUCACGGUCUUGGCUGUAGUUUACAGUGUCAAUGUCAACAACUUCAGCUUUUACGUUUUCAGUGUCAAUGUCGACAACUUCAACUUUUCUUCUAGCUUGAUUUCCUUUAUUCAUCUUGGCUACUUCGACAUCUUUCUCACAUGCACUUCUAUCAUAGAUUUUGACAUUAAACUUUGAUACGCCGUCAUAAAUAAAAACCAAAAAAUCCCCAGCUUCUAAAAGAUGGUCCUUCACAAAACCCUGCCAACCAUCAUGGAAGAACAAGCCAUUCUCCCUCUCUUCCAAUUCCACAGUCCUCCGAAUUCCAGUCGGGCCUUUAAGAUCACAUUUGCAAAGUGAUCGUCCAUUGAAGUUCUUCAUAAUAAACGCAGGCGGUACACGCUACAAAUUUUAGUAAUUUCUUUAAAAUCCAAAAGACCAUGUCAUAUAGAUUCUAAAAGCCAUAAAACCAAGCAAGAAAUGUCAAUAGCUAGUUAGACUAUGCGAGAUCAAGCAAGAAAAAAUUCGCGGUAACCAGAAUUUAAAUUGUAUAAAAUGGUGAUUAAUACUAAUACAAAAGGAAUAGUGCUCCGGUGUUGCAAAUAACAACAAAUUCUUAUCUCACAAAGUAGGAUCGGCAAACAACAAAAAAACUUUAUCCACUAAGUAGAGUCCGCUAUAUGACUGUAUUCGGUUUUGCAAACAUUCAGAAUAAAAGCAAAUUUCAAAACUAUAAAAGGAACAUCAAAACCUAAGAAUUCUGCUAUAAAAUAAGCGGACUGACACAUAACCAUAAUCCUGAUGGAGAAUAUAUCGAUGAAACAUGGUUUCUAUGGCUUUCUAGCCAUUUGAAGAGUAUAAAGGAAGCUAAGGAAGAGGAGGAUGUGGAUGUUACCAGACCCUGAGAGGUGUCACCGGCGAGGAUCUUGAUAAAAGAUGGUUUCUUUGGCUUUCUAGCCAUUUCAACCAACUGGUUGUCAAAGAUUCAAGCUAGCUGCUGCGCUCAGUUUUUAGAAAGAGUUCACGAGAACUUCGGUAAAAUAAAAAAUAAAAGAACAAAACAAAAGAAGAGUUCACCAAAUAACUUUUUCUGGUUCGCUUUGGUAUAGGUCAUGUCACGAAGAGACGAGACCCUGCAGCAAUUUAUUGCUUUUUGUACUUCUCGUCAGCUCAUUUUGCAUUGAUGCUCUUCUGUCUUAAACCCUAUUGACAUGUGACACGCAUAACUGGUGGUUUUUUUUUUUUUUUUAGUUAAACUAGAAACUUUCAUUAAAUAUAAAAACUAUUACAUGAUCUAGAAAAUUUAAGGGCAGUCCCAAUCCAAGGCACAGUCGAAACGGAUAUACAAUAUAAAAAUCCAAAAAGAGCAAGCUUAUAAUAACAAAAACUUUAGAUCUGGAAUACUGCUGACUCCACCACAGGUCUAUAGAAGUAGAGCCGCCAUCGUCGAUCCGCCACUACCGCCAGGAGAAAGAACCCAAGAACAAGCUGGAUGAACGGAAAAUGGGAGUGAGCAAGUCACCCGUGCAAAAGCGCUCCCAUAAUCUUAACAAAUAGUGCUAAAAGCAGCACUUUAACGACCACCCAACACCAAAGUGUGCUGCCAAUCGGAGACACGCAAUAGAUUGAGUCGUGAAGGUUGACGAUGAAGAACUAACAACAGAGAGAAGCAACGGAGGAAGAAAAGAGCAUAAAAGUCCAGAUAUGAGACAAACUCAAGAAGAUUGAGACAAGCUUAAAUUUAUUACUAGAACCGUACGGUUCGGUUCACAUCGGUUUGUAUUCGGUUCUUACCUAUUUACAGUUCUGAAUAUUAAAUUAUUUAAACACCAAAUCAUCAUGCAUUCAAAUACAUCUCCUAAAACUGAUUCUAUAAAGUUGCAACAAAUCCAACACCAGUGACCACUGGCAAGUUCCAACAGAACAUACCUACAAGAAGUAAUCGUUGGAACUGAUAAGACCCAAAAGUGAAAAUGACAGCAUUCGCAUCCUCCACCAUCUGAUCUGUGUAGCCUCUUUGACUUGUCAAUUGCUUCACGUUCACCCAGCCUUUCACAAUCUACAUAAAAAUAAACUCAGUAUUACCAAUUACCUCAUUGAACGAAAGUACCAUCCAACCAAAGGGAAAUGCAAGACUUCAAAUCUAUGGCGUGUAAAUGACGACAAUAAUGGUAAACAUAAGCUAGGAGUCCCAAAGGAAGCGACUUUUUUUAUUUUAGGUCACAAUUACACAUAAUUGACAGUAAGCACAAAACAACACAACAUUGCUAAUGCUUUAAACCGACCCGCCAAUUGCGAAAAAAUUCCAAGUCAUUUCCAAUAUCAUCAAAUUACUGAUUUUUCUCACAACCGACAAUAGAACAGUGAACUAUAUAUUUAUACCUGAUCAAUGCGACCAAUAACCUCUUCUCUCUUCGCAGCCUCGUCUUUAUUCUCAUAAAGCCCCAAAUCAAUCAAGAACUACCAAAAUCAAUACAAAACAGUGAACUAUAUAUCUAGGGAUGGAAAAAAAUCCCAAAAAUCCCAAACCGAACCGAAAAAUUUCCAAAACCAAACCGAAAUUCCCGAAAAUUUCGGUACGGGAAUCGGUCACUAGUUUUUGGGAUUUCGGUAAUCCCAAACCCCCAAAAUAUAUAUAUAUAUAUAUAUAUAUAUAUAUAUAUAUUAUUUAAUUUUUAAAUAUAUAUUUAGAAUUUUAAUAGCCGUUGGAUUGUGUUGAGAUUUAAUCUCAACCAUUGCAUAUAAAUUGUGUAUGAUUUAUCCUUCCUGGUGUAAAUGUAUAUAUGUAUGUCUGUGUGUGCAUGGGAAACACGAAAAAGUUUGGCGUUUGGCAUUUGGCAUUGUAAAUGACUAGGACAGAUAAGCAGGGGAAGGAGGAGUGAAAUGCACGCUAAUGACUAAUGGGAAUUUUGAUGCUCAGGUCCUCCAUGAAAUUUAAUCUGUGCACAUAUUAAAUUGUAAGUUACAGAUUAAAUUUAUUUUUAUUGCAACAUAUUGGUUUGGUUGUAUACUUGUAACUUACAAUGGCCUAUGAAAUUUAUUAAGAAAAUUUAGUCUGCAAUAGAUUGGCAGCCCAAUAUAAAAGGUUGAAUUUUAGCCCAAAACAUAAUAUGUCAAAUUUUAGUCCAAAAGCCCAAAAUCAUUUCGGAAUUCCCGAUUUGCCCCGAAAUACCGAAAUUAUUUCAAGAUUCCCGAAAAUUAGGAUUCCCAAAAAAUUAGUUUGGGAUCGGUAUUAGAUUUGGGAUUCCCGAAAAUUGCGGUUUGGGAAUCGGGACACGGGUUUCAGUUCGGUAUCCCAUACCGAAUCACCCCUAUAUAUAUCUAGAGAAUUGGACACUAAAACAGUGAACUAUAUAUCUACCAAAAUCAUAAAGCCCCGAAUCAAUCAAAAACUACCAAGAUCGAUCGAGUCUAGAAACUUAGCAUCAUCAAACUUUGUCACAAGAGAAUUGGACACUAUCACACAACAGAAAUUCCCAAUUGAUUCAACCUUUGAUUCUGCUACAUCACUACUUAACUAACAAAACAUAUGAAGCUCGAAACAAAAUAGCAGUAAAAAAACAACAAAUUGCAACCGAGCAAGUUCACAAUCAAAAACAAGGAAACUUACGUAAUCCAAGGAGGGAGGACGGAGGACGAAGAUUUAUGAGUUGUCAUGGAUGAGGGAUGAUGAGGGCCGUCACAGAGAGUUGAGGUUGUGAGCUGCCUAAGGAAUCGCACAAAUUCUGGAUGAGAGGUUGUGAGUAGGUGGUCGAUUGUGUGAAAUGAGGGGGUUUGAUGUGAGGCCAUGAGACGUGAGUGAGGUGAGGGUGAGGUGGGUGAACCCUAAUUGGGAUGAGAUCCCCUGCUUUUCAAUUUGGUGAAACUAAUUUUUUAACCUAUUAUACCAUGACAUGUGUGUGUAUAUAUAAUUAAUUAAUUUAUUAUUAAUAAAAUGGUUCGGUUCCGUUUCGGCCGGUUCUUGUUCAUUCGAAACCAAAACCGGAACCAGUUUGAACGAUCCGGUUCGGUUUUUUACUCAAAGUCGACUUUUCCAGUCAACACAGUUUUUUUUGUUUUUUUUUUCAUAUGGUUCGAUGUGGUUUUGUGGUUUGAUGGUUUUUAUGCCCACCCCUAGCAGGGGUCGCCUGUCAACCCCAACCAAAUGAAGGAGUCGACGACGAAAAGGGAAUUGGGGGUUGUCCUAGGUGAGAGAAAAAAAUUCUAGAGAUAGAAAUUUUUUAGGCCUGGUUUUGCAUAACUACAAUAUAGUCUAAUAAUAUUGUUCAUUAAUAUUUAUAAGCUUUUACGCUAAUAAAUGAUACAUUCGAUAUCAAAUUAUUAUGAUUGACACAUUUAUUUUUGUCCAAAACUUUCACCCUUAUUUUUUCUUAAGCUAAUGCUAGAGAGACUAAAAUUUUAAAUUAAACUUUCAAACUAAAUAAUGUGUCACCAAUAGGAAAUAACCACGUUAAUCUAUACUUAACAAUCCAAUCAUCAACAACCAUAUUAUUUAGUUUAAAAAUUUAAUCUUCCUACCAUUAUCCUUUUUCUUGUGUAAUUUAGAACUUCAUUUGAAUCCAACUUUAUAUGAAACUCAAAUUACAACAUUUUACCUCAUGAAACUCAAUUUUUGUAUGGCUUACUCACAUUCCGACAAUUCUGUUGAGAAGUUCAUCAAAUCGCUGAUAUGCAUGGUUGAGGCCUACUUAUUUCUGUUGUAGUUGCCAUGUUGGCUUAUUUGAAAUCAUAAUAACCUUUUUUUUUAUUCUCUAUAAAUUAUUUUUGAUAUUUCUUUUUUUUUUUUUUUGAAACUAGAAAAAUGCAUAAAUUCCCAACUCUUCCUUCGUUCCCUAUAUCACCGCCGCACCUCUUAUCCAAAGGUGCAAUCACAAUUAAAAUAAGUGGGUCUUAACCCUUUCAACAACAACCGACAAAAACAAAAGAAAACAAAAACAAAAACAAAACAACAAAAAAAAACACCUAACUUAACCGAUUUUUUAACAAAAUUAACAAAAUGUGAGAAAAUAAUUCAAAAUAAAGCUUUGGAGGGCAAAUUGGUGCAAUUUGAGUUUUAAAGAAUAAAGUGAGAUUAAAAUAAAGUUUUAAAGGAUAUAAUACAUUUUUAGCGAGAAAAUUGUAAGAUUGGUCCCUCAACUUUAACCUAAUUGGAGAAAUAAUUUCUCAACUAAUAUAUAUGACCAUUAGUCUCUUAACUUAUCAAAACGUGCAUUUAUGGUUCUUUUUUUCAAUUUCAUCAGAACUUCCGUCAAAACCAGUCAUGUUAUGAGAAUUAUUGUUCCAAUGGAGUUAAAAUUGAAGACCAUCUUUCCAAUUGAAUUAAAAUCUAUAGAGCCUCGCUACAAUUUCCUCUUUUUAGUACAUGUCUAGGUAUGUGAUACACGUAUCCCCUUUUCGUAAAUAAAACACAUAUUUUCAACAUGAAACACACUUGGCGUGUUUACUAAACCGGAAUGGAGGUAGAAGAAUGGGAAUUGAAUUCUUUCCCAACUGAUUCCGGCGUUUACUAAAUUUUGGGGAUGAAAAUAUUCGUGGGCUCCACCCAAAAUCAGUAAUCAGAUUCCUAAUAUUGCUGGAAUCCAAUUACUAACUCGGAGGAGGUAUUUGAAUUCCGGAAGAAGGCCAACUUCUGGAAUCAGACUUCUCUACCGAAAUUAGCAUGCCCCAUCACGAUUCAACCAUGAAAAGCACACUCAUCCCCACCCCUUAAUCAACUCACACCACCGCACCACCUCCUAGACUGCCAAGCCCCAACAGUUCUACCAACAAACUCUCGACAGCCGCAGAUCCAAUUCCAGUUGUGGAGAGACAGAUGCAGAGGAGUAUAUAGAUAAAAGCAAACCUUAUGAUUUGCAUAUUGAGAAUCGAAUUGGAAAAUGGGAACUUGACUUACAGUUUGGUUUUUUUCCUAAUUCGAUUGCAGACAUUUUUACAGAUAGCAUUGAGCGGCUGACAAGGGGUUGAGAAAUCCAAGAAUGGCUGCCAACAAGGAGUUCAUCGUUUACAACUCGAUGACCCGACAAAAGGAGAGUAAAGAACAAGGUCAGGAGAUGAUGGCAAAAACCAAUUGAGGAUGCAGAAGGGGGAGAGUAAAGAAGGUUGUGGUGGAAGUGGAACCGUGAAGGUUCCAGAACCUCUCCCGACUCCUGUUUUUUUUUUUUUUGUUGUUGGGUUUUUUAACUUUUUUUGUCGAAUGAGUUUUUUACUCAUGAAAGAGAAAAAAGUGAAAAAAAAGAUUAAAAAAAAGAGUAAAAAGAAUUCAAGUUUUAUUAAAAAUAACAAACACAGGAAUUGUUAAAAUUUUACUAUUAUAUAUUACAUCAAAUUUUAUAAAAAAAAGUAUAGAAAAUAUUUGAUUUGGGACUAGAGUAUUUUAGUAAUCAUACUGGUUUAUAUUCCGAUUCUGUUAAAUUAGUAAACAGCUUUAUGGAAUUAGUAUCAUUUCUAUUCCGAUUCCAGAAUAUUUAAGUAAACAGCUUCAACAGGAAUCCGAUUCUGAGUCCACCUCAUUCCAAUUCCUCCUCAAUUCAAUUAAUUUCAAUUUGAUUACGGAUUAGUAAACGUGUCCUUAAUUGAUUUAUUCUUUAUGUGUUAGUAAUGAAACAUUUGUUAGGAAGGAGAUUAACUCUCAUACUUCGCACUGAAGAUGAUGAUUUCUUUUGCUUUUGUGCCAUUGAAACAACUGUGUCGACUUGGCAAGGAUUCGAUAGAAUGGCAACAAACUUUCUUCUUGUUCUUAACUUAAGUGGUAGAGAAUCAGAGUCCUAAUUUAAGACUGUUGGAAGACUAAAAAUAAAUUCGGAAGGACGUGUGUAUCUUUUAUGCGGAAGCUUGAAUCUCAACACGCUCUUACAAACACGAACAACUGUUUUGACCCUCUGUGCACGUCUAGAACCUCGUAGGUCAUCGGGUUGGCUACAGUAUGUUGGGUUGCCCCUUGGUUUGCGCCUCCCAAGACCUAGAGCCAAAAGUGAUAGCCCUAAAGACCUAACUAGAAUAUUGAACUGUGGAAAAGCUUGUACUUCUUGUGUUUUAUCUCUUCUCCAAAGUCUCUUUAUAUGGUGGUUGGGAAGAGUGUACAAAGACUAAAAAGCCCAUGAAAUCCCAAGUAUAUUCUAAUAUGAAUAUCUCUUGAUUUUCAUCUAAUUAUCACAUAGAUAAUUAGGAGGUUAAUAUCCUCAUGUGGGUGGAAUAUCCUUUGAUAUUUAUUUAUCCCAUAAGAUAAAUCCAACAUCUCCCACUCACCCACAUAGGGUGAGGCAUAGUCUCAAUCAACACACUUAGUUCACAUCCAUUCUAGUGUAUCUCCUCAUACAAGAAAUAGGACGUGCGACCUCGCGAGAAAGAACGUACAUAACCAGGAGCAUUGUCAUUAAGCUAUCACUAAACUAACUGUUGGAGCAAUAUUAGAAAAUAUGAAAAUAACACAAGAACUCCAUUAAUAAUAAUCAUAAAAAAUUCACAACAUCAAUUUAUGUAUAAGAUUAAUCUAAACAAUUAGAAAGAAAGUUAGAAAACUGACAAACUUGAAGAUUGAGGCUUGCAUAAAUGUAAUGUCCUAAGGACAGAAUUUUACCCUACUCUUGUACUUGUAGUUCGAUAGGCGUCUGUCUCCCAAGAUUCAACAAUCUAUAAUCCGAAGUCAAAGCACUUCAAUCUUCGGACUCUGGCGAACUUCAUAUAUUCCGUACUCUCAAGACACGACUCAGAUUUUUACUAGGACUGUCACGCCCCGAUCCCGACGUACGUCCAGGAUUGACACGUGACGUCAUCAAAUAACCAUAUAUCUAACAUACUCGUCUUAGAGAUAUAUACCAAGCACAUGCCAUGCCUUGAAUUGCGUAGUAAAAUUUGUACACUUUAUGGCUGCAUCUAACCUUCUCGUUAGACUGCCUACGUACCCUACUCAGGGAUCAAGCCAUUCGUAGUUCAUCGUGCACUAUAAUUGACAUAUAACACAUUCCGUUUAAGCCGAAAGGUAUAACAUUUCUCAAUCAAUCAAUAGAACUUGACAAGCAUGAAAUUACUAGACUCGGGGUUACAUAACUAAUCCACUUGAAAAUCAUGAUUUCCCUUCCAUCUUCUAUAUAAGUCAUUAUGUCGCAACAUGAUACCGCAAUUCACAACAUAUAUCAUAUCAAAGAAUCGAUGAAGCACAAUACAAUUCUCUAUCCACUCUAAUUAACUAAUUUGACCAGAAUAAUAACAACUAUAACCAUAUCUUCUAAAUUCAUACUUUAAGAAAUCAUAGAAAAUCCUGAAAGAGUCACCCAAACGUCUAACAGCUUUUCUAAUUCAAUCCACAAGAUUCUCAAAAUCAUUGCUCACAAUUAUACUAAAACUAAGGCUAGAGUGACAUAGUUAAGCCAAGCCUACAUCUCUGUAGCUGAUAUCAAAUCUAAGAAACCAACAAGUAAAGUGAUGCGACUUUGGACCACUCAACGGAAUCCAAACAAGGAUAUGAUUCCGAACCAUCACUCAACGGAAUCACUUGCACUAUCAACUUCUCAUGACCACUAUCUUAUCAUACAAGCAUAAAAGUUAUACAUAGUUAUACGCAUACAUGCUAUCGAUUCCACAUAUCAACCAGCAUCUAGUCAUAUGGAGCACAACACAAGGAAUUCCCUCAAUUACUAUUUCUACUAAAAACCUAAUAAAGUACCUAAAUCAUCUCUUGACGUUCAUCUCCAUCUCAUGCUAGGUAAUAAUGCCAAGUUCGAAUAGGUAUUCAUUUGGCAAUCAUACCCAAUUAAUUAUCAAACAAUAUUUAGAUCCCAUAAUUGUCAUUCACAUUAUUAAAAAGUUAAUUAAACACAUAGAUACCACAAACAUCAUCAGUACACAAGCCAAAACAUAUUUAAUUAGCAUAGGUCUAUGGCUAAAUAUAUAAAGUUCACAUUUCGAUAGAAAUCUUGUUUAUAAGACCAAUUCAUAUUCAUAAAUGAUACUUGUUGAUGCACAAAAUCGGAGGUCUUGGAACAACGUAAAUCCGACCGUGAAUCUGCAAGUAAAGUAAAUAACACAAGAUGUAUCGUGGUUCACCCCAAGAUUUAGGCUACGUCCACACUGAUUAUGUAUUUAUUUGAGGGAGAGAGAGCUCUGAGAGUGAGAACUUUGAGAGGGGGUGAGAGAGCCUAGGAAUUGGUCUCCCUCAAUUGUGAGGGUGAGGAGUCAUUUUAUAGAAUAAGGGCUCCUCACUUAUUACAUAUUUGCCUCUUCCUUUCUUACAUAAUUACAUUUAAGUCCCAUGAGUAUUUGUACGAGAUCUAAAUACGGAGGCCCUAAAUAUGGUAUAAACAGUAGUCUCCCAAGUCUUCAGUCAAGAAAGUCUUUUGGCUGGAAACUUUAAAUUCAGUCCAUGUGUGGGCCGAAGUAACUAGAUGUUGUCUUGAACUGACGCUCGAUAUGAGGUGGUGCUUAAUCUGUAAUGAUGCUCAACUAGAAGUGGCCCAUACUGCGAGGCUGCUCGGCUCGUGGCUUAUAUUACCUUGGUUGGCUCGGCUUGUGGCGUUAAAGGUGAGGGAGUCCCUUUUAUAGAAUAAGGGCUCGCUCCUCAAUACAUGAAUGAUGGGCUAGAGUUGAUGCUCUCUAAUGAUGGUGAGGGAGUCCCUUUUAUAGAAUAAGGGCUCGCUCCUCAAUACAUGAAUGAUGGGCUAGAGUUGAUGCUUUCUAGUGAUGGUGAGAGAGUCCCUUUUAUAGAAUAAAGGCUCGCCCCUCAAUACAUGAAUGAUGGGCUAGAGUUGAUGCUCUCUAGUGAGGGAGUCCCUUUUAUAAAAUAAGGGCUCGCUCCUCAAUACAUGAAUGAUGGGCUAGAGUUGAUGCUCUCUGGUGAGGGAGUCUGUUUUAUAAAAUAAGAGCUCGCUCCUCAGUACACGAGUAAUGGGCUAAGUCCCCCAAGUAUUUUUCAUGAGGCCCAGUUGAGGCCCACUAUAUGGUACAUAAUGUAGUCCCUCAAGUCUUCGGUAAAUAAAGUCUAUUGGCUGGAGACUUCAAAUUGAAUCCAUGUAUGGGCCGAAAUGGCGGUUGUUCGGAUGCGGUAUUUGUAUACCUUGCAUGAAGCUUUGUAGGUGAAGCUUUGCAAGUGAAGCUUUUGAAGUUGAAACUCUGUAAAUGAAGCUUUCGAAGCUAGAGCUUUUGUAAAUGAAGCUUUCGAAGCUAGAGCUUUUGUAAAUGAAGCUUUUGAAGCUAGAGCUAUGUAAAUGAAGCUUUUGAAGCUAGAGCUCUGUAAAUAAAGUUUUUGAAGCUGAUUGACAUGAGUGAUGCUCAUGAAUGUUUAUGUUGAUUAACAUGAGUAAUGCUCAUGGAUGUUGUCAUGAGUGAUGCUCAUGAAUGUUAACAUGAGUGAUGCUCAUGAAUGUUGACAUGAAUGAUGGUCAUGAAUGUUUAUGUAUGAUUGUCAUGAGUGAUGCUCAUGAAUGUUUAUGUAUGAAUGACAUGAAUAAUGCUCAUGUAUAAUUUGGAGUACUGGGAGUACUUUUGAUCACUUGGUUGGUGGCAUGAAGGAGAGUACGGGUUAUACAUUUCAUCACCUGGUUGGUGGCAUGAAUGGCUAGUUGCCAAAUGAUAUUAGAGUACGAGUUUUACAUUUCAUCACCUGGUUGAUGGUAAUAGCGGUGGGUUGCCGAAUAAUUUUGGAGUACUGGCCGUACUUUUGAUCACCUGGUUGGUGGUAAUAGCGGCAGGUUGCCGAAUAAUUGUGGAGUACUGGACGUACUUUUGAUCACCUGGUUUGUGCUAUUUUAGGUUUAUAGGCCUUCGCUCUCUACACAACAUUCCAGCCCAUUUAUUUUGGGCUUUGCCGUUUUUUUUUUUUUGUUUUUUACCCUCUAAUGGGGUUUAUACAGAUGUCUCCAAAAGAUAAGAAAAAUAAAUUACAUCAUACAAAAAAUAAAGGUUUCGACACAAAAGCUUCGACAGUUGCAGAUCGUUGGUGCGUUUGCUUUUGCUUUUGUCUUCUGCUUUGCUUUUUCUUUCGUUUUCUGUUUUGCUUUUGUUUUUCCACCACUCUCUAUGUCUCUUCACCUGGCAGACAAAAUGAAUCGUAAUCAUAGGAAAAUUUUUGCUUUUCUUCUUUUCUCUUUUCCUUUUCAUUUUCUUAAUCUCCCCGCUCAUUCUCUGUCCACCCAUGUUGCUUUGCAAGGUCAUCUUUUGCUUUUCUUGACAAAUGAUUUCACAUGGCUAUGACUGCUCCUUCCUUGCUUUGGGUCCUCAUUUUACGCUUUAAUGUAUGCUUGGAAGAUUGCCUCUCGAUCCUCAUCGCUAGGGUAUCCAUCCAUGAGCUGAUCGUGUACAGUGACAAAACCAAGAGCGAACACAGGAGGGCCCACCGAGUCAGAGAGCUGUUGGAUUCUUUAGCCCAUUUCUCGCUCAUCUCAUGUGAUCUUGUAAUAGCCUUGAUGCGUGAGUUGGUCGCGACGAGUGCUGUUGGUGUCUUUGUAUUUGGGCCGGGUGAAGGAGAACCACUCAUUCUCGCGAACUUCUGGGAUGAAACCCGUCGUACAACCCGACCCGACCACCAUGUACACAACAGAGAACCUCAGGACCAGCAAUAGCACGAGCAACAGCUGCAGCGGCCGCAACUCGUGCAGGAACCUCAGGACGAUCAGAUGCAGAAGGAAGAAGGCCGAGCAAUGUGGCGGACCUAACGAAGCUCAGAAUCUUCUUGCCGACUUUUGACAAAUCCAUUGCACCACCUUGGAACAGCAAAACCGAGACCAAGAACAAAACCCCAGGGCUCUCAAAGCAUUCGCUCAAAUCGCCAUUAAACACAAACGGAUUCGCCAAAACGCUGCCGAAGGGAGACAGAUCCGGCCACAUUUCAAUUCGAACCUCCGAGAUCAUGCGGUGCAAAAUUCAUUGCAGGAAUGAGCUGCGAUCGCGGUUUUGGAUCUGAUGGUUUCAGUGUGAGUCUGCGACUUAGUGACUUGGCGGACGACUGGCGUUUCGAUUCCAAGAAAAGAGCUCACAGAGCUGUUGGAAUCCAAUCCUCCGUCGCGUUACCCUUAUUCAACCUCAUGUAUCGUAAAUCGUGCGUCGACGGGGUUCGAUGUCCGCCGCCUCUGGCUCGCCUUCACGGCGCUUUUCAUUUUUUCCCUUUGCCGUACGAUUUGGAGAAGACAGGGAGCGAAUAUAAAUGAUAGGAGCCAUCGUUGAACCUCACGCCGAACAACUUUACACCUCUGUCGCCGCAUAAGGAGAGGAACGAGGAGGAGGACCCUACACGUGUUGGGAACAUGCGCAAGUUGUGUCUGUUGCUGCUACAGUGAAAACACCGCCGAGUCAUUGUGCCCAACUUGGCCGGUUCGGUGAUGGUGAUUCGGGUCGGGCCAGGCCAAGAAUCGAUGAACGAGAGGGCGAGCUUUAAAUUAUUAUGGGAUAAAUCAAUGGUGUCACUUGCUGGGUGGUCAUUGACGUUGCUGAAUCCCAUAUGCUCUUUAUUUGAAACAAGUUUCACGGUCUUGGGACCUUCAUCUUCAGGCCCUUUGACGGUGAUAGGUGUAAUUUUAUGACUUGAGGAAAGCAUCAAACUCUGCGAUCUGGUUUUCUUUGGUUGUAGGGAUUUGAGGUGGUCCGAGUAUUGAAGGGAUUUGAAAUGGUGAGGAAUUGAUGAGUCCUUUGCUUUUUUUUUUUUUUUAGGUAAGGUUCGAUGGAUGGAAGAAAGAGAUGAGAUUAAGAGAGUGUAUCUGUCUUUGUGUGGGUUAGUGAGAGGAGAGAGAAUGAAGGAAUGUGACUGUUUCCAUUGAUGCUGCCGUGACUGGGCGUUGAAGCGGAAGACAUGGGUUUUGCAGUGACUGUGCCGGUGUUUCGCUCUUGGGUUUCUGCAGAUUCACUGUGGAGGUGAAAAAAAUGAAAGAGAAUCGACACAACCUUUCGUAUCGUUUCCCAGAGAUGGUGCCAAAUGUUGAUGCACAAAACCAGAUGUCUUGGAACAACGUAAAUCUGACCGUGAAUCUGCAAGUAAAGUAAAUAACACAAGAUGUAUCGUGGUUCACCCCAAGGUUUGGGCUACGUCUACACUGAUUAUGUAUUUAUUUGAGGGAGGGAGAGCUCUGAAGGUGAGAACUUUGAGAAAGGGUGAGAAGGCCUAGGAAUUGGCCUCCCCCAAUUGUGAGGGUGAGGAGUCCUUUUAUAGAAUAAGGGCUCCUCACUUAUUACAUAUUUGCCCCUUCCUUUCUUACAUAAUUACAUUUAAGUCCUAUGAUUAUUUGUACGAGAUCUAAAUACGAAAGCCCUAAAUAUGGUAUAAACAAUACUAAUAUAAGAAAUUAAGAUAAUAAUCAUAUCUCAUGUAUUCAAGUCGCUAUCUCACCAAUAUAGGCCCAUUAGACUUCAAUUAGUUGUGAAGUACUAAUUUUGUAAUUUAAAACGUUUCGAGACGUGUUGACCAAAAAUCAACUAUCGGUCAACGAUAGGGUCCACAACUCUACGUAAUUUGAUCCUGAAGAUCCACACAUUGGAUUUUUGAUCCAUAACUUCCCAAAGUCCACAUUAUGCUUCUAAAACAACAUACUAUAUUCCCAUCGCGAUCCGACUGUCGGAUCUCCACCAAUUACUAUAAUUAAGUGGCGGUCAACAAUUUAUUUUACUAACUUAGAAAUCCAAUUAGGGAAGAUACGCACGUCGGAUUCCCGAUCCGUAAGUUUCUAUGAUGCACAAAUAUUAUGUUAUAUCACACAUUAAGGUUUGGUGACGAUCCAACGGUUGGGUCGUAGAUUCAUAUUUUGACAAAGUAAGGUAUCGUAAUGAAACUAAGUCCAAACAAUCAAAUUACGUCAUACGGAUAUCAAUUAUGAAACCAAGGCAUUUAUUUGAACUUAAAAGGACGUCUUUAACCCACUAGCCAGGCUACCCCGACUUGCCAGAAAAAAUCAACUAUUUUUAAAAAUUACCAAAAUUUACAGAAAUGAAGCUCUCAAUGAGUAGAACAAGUUUUAUACCUAUGGCCAAGUCCAAUUUGGCCGGGAAAAGCCUCCAAUUGCCAUAAACCCGCCGAAACCCUAGAAUUGGGUGUUCUCCAAUUCGUCAAAAUUGUAGCUCCGCCGCCCCCAAACUGAUUUGGGCUUUGAUCCAGGCCUCAAGAGGAGUUGGACAAGGGUGGUGGUCAUCGGCGAUAUCUACAAAACCGGUGGAAUUGCCGCCGACACCCAUAAAUCUCGUCGGAUUAUUUUCCACUAAAACAAAACCAAAUUCCUUCUAAUUUCAGGUGGAAAUGGAAAAGGGAGGGAUAGGGAGUUGUUUGGUAGGGGUGGAAGGUUGUUAAUCGCCAGAAAAAUGGACGGGAAACCAGUCGGAAUUUGUUGUAGCCACGGGUCGGGUCGAGGAAUGUCGGGUCAAGGGGAAAGGGGGUCCGGGUUGUGUGUUCCCUCCCCUCCUCCCGUUGGUCUCUCCCCCUUUUCUUUUCUUUUUUCCCUGUCUCUCCCGCAACUCCCCUCUUUCUUAUUAUUUUUUUUUUCUUUUUCCUGAUUGGUUCCCUUAAACUCCCCCAUGAAUUGGGUUGGUUCUCCCUUUUUUUCCUUGGUCACCAUUUCCACGGGGAGUUUUAAAGAAAUUUAAAAUUUAUAGUCUAGAAACACCACUUCAGAUGUCCGCAACUGUACCGCUAUAAUCCGGACUUGCAAACGGCUUUCGCCUAUAAGUUCGUGAUUUCAAGAUCUAUCCAAAAAUAUAAAUUGUGACCUCGAAAGGUCUACGAAUUUUAGAUAAUUAAUUUCCAAACUUCAACUUCGUGACUAGUUUAAUUUAAAAUCUAAAUUCAAAUAAAUUAAUAUAAUUUCUCGUAAAAUAAUAUAAAGUCUCAAUAAUACGAAUAUGUAAAUUAUAACAGUCAAAUCCAGGAACAAGAUUUCACGUUUAUUUGUCACAUCCCGUGCCCGUUCCACCACCGUAGCACGAUAGUAUCCGCUUUGGGCUGACCAUUCCCUCACGGUUUUGUUUUUGGGAACUCACGAGCAACUUCCCAGUAGGUCACCCAUCCUGGGAGUGCUCUGGCCUCCUUCUCGCUUAACUUCGAAGUUCCUACAAAACCCGAAACCAGUGAGCUCCCAAAAAGCCUCAUGCUAGGUAGGGAUGGGAAUAUACAUUGAAAGAUCACUCCCUUGGGCGAUGUGAGAUGUCACAAAGACAUUAGAGGAAACUCUUCUCUUUUUUAUAUUAGACAAGUGGGAUGCUUGAGUUUAUAUAGAACUUAGGCCACAUUUUUUGAAACAGUAUGAUUAUUGCCUAAAGUUCCAACGAACAGAUACAACUCAUGAAUUUGAAUUUAACUAUAACACAUUACUCUUAUUUUUCUUUCAUACACAAAUUAAAUAUUAUAAUAUUAAUUAUAAUAUAUAAUUUCCAACACUAACAACAGUGCAUCACUCGGAAGUUCAUCACUUUAUGCCCGACUGUUCGUCACACACCAGACUUGACAUUCUUUAUGAAAUAAAAAAACAAUGUCAUGUCUCACAAAUAUCAUGUAUCCAUGUCUAAUGUUUGAUAACAAAUAUGCGCAACUAAUGAAUCACAUGACAUGGUGUUUUCUUCGAACUGUCUUCCUUAAGCUCUCAUGUCAGUCUAAUUUGAUUUAACAGCUUGCCUAGACACGCCUCUUGGGACAGUAGCUAACUUGACCAUCUUAGAUAAACAUGCUAAACUAGCGAUCAUUAAACCACAUACCAUUGCAUCAUUAUAUAUAGGUAUGUAUGUGUGUGUGUGUGUGUAUGUGUGUGUGUACACACAAGGUUAAUGCUAUACAAUCAAGUACAGCUUUUAAGGAUGCUUGAAGACGAUAUUGAGUUGGAUGAACAAGAGAACCCUAGUCUGCAAGUAAUCAUCCAAGGAAAGUCUUCUACUCACUCAAGCACUAUGCUCUUAUGGUGAUAGAACCCUAGACUUAGAGCCAAUGCUUUGUGAGUAGGGAAUUCCUUUUAUUAAUUGAUGACUAGCAGCCAACUUCCAUCUAUCAUGGGUGAGUUGGUUAUUGUCCCAUAUCAUCACAACGUGGAAGUUAUUGAGUAGUGGAGGAACAAUUUGUAUUCAAAGCAUUUUGAAUGUGUUUCCACAAAAAUAGGAUGUUAACUUUUCCACAUAUUCAAACUCUAUAGGAUUAUAUUAUCAACAUGUAACCUCUCCUUUAUCACAACUUGUUAAGUCCAAAUAAGAUUCUUACAUUCUCGUCUCCAGGUGAUGGUCUUCUGUCACUCAAGAACCGAUAAAGAAUUUAUGCGUAGAAAGUGACAAUAACAACAACUUUUUCUCCCCCUUCGUUUUGGCAGUGUUGGAAUUCAUGGACAGAUGAAACACCUUAGCAGAAACCAGAAACGGUUAUGGCAUUGCAUUAUGGUAAGGGCUACUUAGUCUGGCGGCUUAGAGUAGCAGCUAUAAAGCAAAGCCUCAUGGAUGCCAUGGUUUCUGUAUCAAAUGGAAAAGCAUCGACGGAGAGUUUAGUUUACUGUAGACCAACACUGCUUUUGUAUCGACAAUAUAGGACACCCCAUAUUUUGUAUAUAUGGACUCCCAUCUGUUAUCUGUAAGACAUUAAAGACAGCGAAUCUUGUGAUGUUCUCUGUUCAAAUGGCAACUACAUUCUUUUCUUUCAUUACACACUUAUUUAAUUAUGUUUGUUCUUUUCAUUUGAUUUUUAGUCAGUUGAUCAGAAAUAGGGAGGGAUAUAUAUAUAUAUAUAUAGGAAUCUUUUAACAAGAAGGAUCCUCAUUUUUCUAAAAAAAUAGUGAUACCCUCUUGAUCGUUAAAUUGGCUUUAAUGAAAUUGUGUGCUUGAGAUUGUAUGGCUUGUGAUUUAAUUUCAACCACACAAUUUCAUUAAAGUCAAUCCAACAAUCAAGAUGGUGUUCUCAUUUUUUUUUAGAAAAAUGGGAUCUCUCUUGUUAAAGGGUUUCAUGUGUGUGUGUGUGUGUAUAUAUAUAUAAAGGUUUCGUAGUGACACUGAUAAACCACUGUCUCCUGUUGCAGAAGAACAAUCCAAAUCCACAGGAAGCGUGUUAUACAUGCAUUUGCUACGAAAUUAAAUUUGAUAUGAUUAAUUUUAUGUCCUAUUUUAAUAAAAACGAAUUUAAUUAAUAAAAGCAAACUAAUAUGCAAAAUUAAAAAUGGGAAAAAGGAAACAGUUUUGUAGAAAUCAAGUUAAGAACGCAUUAGGGAUCCGCCAUCACCUUAACAAUCCUAUAUAGUUUUUCAAAUCACUUAUGACCUAUACAUGCAUAUUUCGAAAGUUAGGUUUUCCUAAUAUAUGCCUACUUGUAUGAACAUUUUUUUGUCCAUUAACCAUCACUUUUUCAGUUUCUAAUUUGAAAUUUGGGCGCUCAAUUGUUCAAAAACAUCCAAAUAAAAUAUAAUAGGUACAUUCAGAGCGUUGCAAAGAGUAAAACGUAUUAAUCACCUUCGUGUCAUACAUGGGAUUCACCUAUCAAUGUGGCCUCAGUUGUAAUCCAAUGAACUUAUGCAACUAUAGUUCUCUACCUAACCAACUACUAGCCUAGUUGGUGUGAAACUUUAAUAAACAUAAAAUAACAUGUGUACGUUCUCAACUUAACCAACUACUAGCCUAAUUGGUGUGAAAUUUUAACAACCAUUACAUAACAUGCACGCCUCAGUUGUAAUCUAACGAACUUAAAACAUAAUUAUAAUUCUCAGCUUAACCAACUACUAGCCUUGUCGCAGUAUGAAAUUUUAACAAUCGUAAAAGAACAUGAGUUCCUCAUUUGUAAUCCAAUGAAGUUAUACAUAGUUAUAGUUCUCCAUUAAACCAACUAAUAACAUAGUUCUCAGCUCAACCAACUACUAGCAUAAUAAGUGUAAACUUUAACAAAAGGGUACACAACAAACUAAUCGAUAAAGCUAGAAUACCGGAGGUCCAUUCCAGUCUCUCUGCCUAAGAUAUAUCCAGCAUUAAAAAAAAAUUAAAGUUUUUCCUUUCUUUUUGGUCGUACCCAGUGCACAAGGCUCCCAGCUUUAAGCAGGGUCUGGGAGAGGUGAAUGUCGGCUAGCCUUACCCCCAUUUAUAGAGAGGCUGCUCCCAAGUCUCGAACCCGAGACCUACCGCGCCAAUGUCAGCAAUUGCAGGCCGAAUGCAGAAGGAGAAUAUUUCAUUAAGUACAGUUCCAAGUUAAUGAACAAACCCGAUGGAAAGUACAAAAUUACCCAUGCUUAUAUACCAACAGAUACAGAAGCAUUAGUUUAGUUUGUUUUAUACAACAACAACAAAGCCUUUUCCCACUAAGUGGAGUCGGUUAAGUUUAGUUUGUUUUAUAAAUAAAAAAAUUAACUAGGGAGAAAAACUAUUACAUUUGGUAUACUCACAAAUUGGCAGCUGAUUCUGCCUUGAGAGGAUUCAACCCUUGAUCAUAUUUUCCUAGUGUUGUCUCAACAUGGAUCAUCACGGGCACAACACUUUGCAGGUUCCAUCCAAGGACCAAGAAUCCAGCUUGUUUCGGAGUUUCACGAAAGUAAAUCGUUUGGGAAACCUAUUGCACUGUGAUGGCCACACCAUCCAAAAUAGUCAAAUUGAUCUGCUAUAAGUAAAACCAAAUUGCGUAAUUAAACAAAAUGGUACAUAAAAUAAAUAUUGAAUAAUUGAUCCAUUAGAGAGAUUCGUUAAAAAAUUAUACCUGAUCGAUUAAGUAUUGCAUCACAUCUAUGUAGGUGCUCACAUCCCCAGAGGUGGCUAGAUAGUUAUGUGGAGCAUUAGUAAGCCUAUACAACUUUGUCUCCAUAUUAGAGAGCACAAACCCAUAUGAGUUGGUUGUUCUCGAGUCGAUCACCACGAAAAUUAAAUUUUCUCCAGGAGUAUGCAAAAUUUAGAGUGUCGUGGGCACCCUUCGAAUACCCUGAAACAAUAUGAUGUUUCAUAUUGUCUGCUUAAAGAUUGGUUGGUUUUUAUUAUUGUUUCAGGGUAUCCGAAGGGUGCCCACGGCACUCUAAAUUUUGCAUACUCUUGGAGAAAUUUAUUUUCAUGGUGGUCGACUCCAGAACAACCAAUCCAUAUGGGUUUGUGCUCUCUAAUACAAAGACAAAGUUGUAUAGGCUUACUAACGCUCCACACAUCUAUCUAGCCACCUCCGAGGAUGUGAGCACCUACAUAGAUGUGAUGCAAUACUUAAUCGAUUAGGUAUAAUUUUUUUAACGAAUCUCUCUAAUGGUUCAAUUAUUCAAUAUUUAUUUUAUGUAAUAUUCUGUUUAAUUACCCAAUUUGGUUUUACUUAUAGCAGAUCAAUUUGGUUACUUUGGACCAUCACAGUGUAGUGGGUUUCCCAAAGGAUUUACUUUCGUGAAACUCUGAAACAAGCUGGAUUCCUCGUCCUUGGAUGGAACUCGCAAAGUGUUGUGCCUGUGAUGAUCCGUUGAAACAACACUAGGAAAAUAUAAUUCAAGAGUUGAAUCAUCUCAAGGCAGGAUCAGCUGCCAAUUUGUGAGUAUACCAAAUGGAAUAGUUUUUCUCCCUAGUUAAUUUUUUUUUUCUUUUUUUUUAUAAAACAAACUAAACUAAUGUUUCUGUAUCUGUUGGUAUAUAAGCAUGGGUAACUUUGUACUUUCCACCGGGGUCAUUCAUCAACUUGGAACUGUACUUAAUGAAAUAUUCUCCUUUUGCAUUCGGCCUACAAUUGCUGACACUAUCACAGAAGGACUUCUUAUGAGAUUUUUUUUUUAACUUAUAAUUCUUUUCUUUUCUUUUUUUUUUUAUAGAAAGAAAAAAAAAAUUUACUUAAAAUUUUUUUUAAUGUUGGAUAUAUCUUUGGACAGAGAGACUGUGUGAUUGACCUCUGGUAUUCCAGGUUUAUAGUUAGGUGGAGGACUAUAACUAUGUUUAAGUUCAUUGGAUUACAAAUGAAGAACGCAUGUUCUUUUAUGAUUGUUAAAAUUUCAUACCGCGACAAGGCUAGUAGUUGGUUAAGUUGAAAAUUAUAAUUAUAUUUAAGUUCAUUAGAUUACAACUGAGGCGUACAUGUUAUUUAAUGGUUGUUAAAAUUUCACACCGACUAGGCUAGUAGUUGGUUAAGUUGAGAACGCACACAUGUUAUUUUAUGUUUAUUAAAUUUUCACACCCAACUAGGCUAGUAGUUGGUUAGGUAGAGAACUAUAGUUACGUAUAAGUUUAUUGGAUUACAACUAAGGUCACGCUGGUGGGUGAAUCCCACAUAUGAGACGAAGUUGAUUAAUACGUUUUACUCUUUGCAACACUCUCUGAAUGUAUAAAUAUCAUAUUUACUAUGGAUUUUUGAACCAAGAAUUCAAAAAUUCCAAAGUCAUAAUAUAGAAGGUAAGGGUGUAUGGAGUGAAUGGCUUCAACUAAGCUGUUAGUCGAUACCGAGAUAACUCAAAUGAGUAAUAAACAAUAAAGGCUAUACAUCUAACAUUUACUAUAAAAAAACGACUAUCUUUAUACCAACCACACCAUGUAUAGAGAGAAACGUAUCAACUGUACAGUUUCUCUCACUAGAAAUGGCCAUAGCCCAUCAAAAUGGAAAAUAUUUGUAUUACCUUACCUUGCAGCAGAAGCAAGCUUAAAAGCAUAGUACUGCAGCUGCAUGCAACCUUCAGUCACCACGACUGCUCACACAGUGACUGGUGAAAACGCCCAAUACUGCAAAUAAGUACGGCCCCGACUAACGGAACUUCCUGCAAUAUAUAAAAAGCAGGAAUCAGUAAACUUUCAAGCUGUUAAACCACCACUAGAAUUUUGGCUAAAGGACACCCUUUUCAAUGGUGUCUAUUAUAAACAAUGGGCACUGACAUUGGUGGCAAACCCCAAUUGCCACCAAACAACCACUAAAUAGAAGUUCAUGUCCUAUAUAGAAGUCUCUAUUGCUACAAUCACCACCAAUUAGAUAAUGGUGGCACAAUGAAUAGUUACACCUUUGAAAAAUUAUAUAAUUUCUAUACAUCGGUGUCCAUGUUGUAAUAUGUUUUUUUUUUAAAAGGACCCAUUAAUCUGGGCACCCAAAUGUAUAUAUAUAUAUAUAUAUAUAUAUAUAUAUAUAUAUAGUUAAUAGACUGCACAGAAUUGCAUGUUUGCUGUAGUCUUCCAUAACUAAUCACACAUUCAAAAAAAUAAGGUCUAAAACCAAUGAGCUAUACUAAAAAAUAUGAAACUAACCGUCAAAGUACAAAACAGGCACCAAAUUUGAAGGAAAUUGCCACUUAAAAGACUUCACAUUUUCUUGAACACCUUCAAACAUGUUUUUUAAGAUUGACAUGCUCCUCAUAAUACUUGAGCCUCAGUAAUUGCUAUCUCUACCUGCAAACACAUAAGCACGUGGAUCAAAUGACUAAAAUAUACACAAAAGCAUGCCUUUACAGUUUUAUUGUUUCCUAUAAUCUGCAUAAAAAGCAUAUACUUGCAAGUAUGAGUCUCUAACACUCCACACGAAAAACUGAUGUGGCAACACUACUACAAAAUUAUCUAUUGCUGGCGGUCCAAAAACCAACAAGAAACAUAUAUUAUUGUCGGAUAUUAUGCAAAAUCCGACAGAAAAUGGAUGCAGUGACGGAUAUAAUAAGCGACAGAUUUGCCAGCGUCAGGAAAUGAAUUUUCCGACAGAAAAUAAUCCAAAACUGACAGAACUUGUGUCGGAUAUAAUCGACAGAAAAUAUAUUAAUAAUGAAUAAAUAAAAGCAUUUUCUGUUGGAUAAAACCGACAAAAAAUACUCUAAAACCGACAGAAAAUACAUAUAACCGACAGAAUUUGUGUCAGCUAUAACCGACAGGAAAUUUUAAUAAUGAAUAAGUAAAUCAUUCUCUGUCGGCUACAACCGACAUAAAAUAUAUUAAUAAUAAAAAAAAUUAAAAGGACAUGAGAGCAUUCUCCCUUCUCGUUGAGCAUUCUUGUCCCCUUCAAAAUGAUUCCAAAUGAUCCAGUACUUACAACAUGUUCUGCCAUAUAACUUAUCGUCUGUAAUUAAGAACAAAAGGUGAUGCACGAAAUACACACAUUUUUUCUGAUUGUAUAUAAGAAUGAUAGCCAAGUAUUUGUCCGUAAAAAUAGAAUGAAAAGUUGGAAAAGUACCAAUAAAAAGAACCAAAUUGAGAAAACUGGAAAUAUUCUCUACUCAUUAUUUGCCUCACUUCUAUCUCUUACAAAGACAUUGAUUUUGUCAAAUUUCAAUUGAGAAAACUGGAGGCAAAAGGAUGAAACAAAAUUUGAAAAAGGCAUAUAUGUCAUCAUAUCCUUAGAAUACCACAAAAUACAUCUCAAUGCAGUAAGGCAAAAAUCAAAAACCCAAAUGGAAGUCAGAGUCAAAAGCCAAAAAAAUAAAAAACCCACCUGGGAAAUUGGAUAAGUUUGAUGGGUUUUUUUCUGCUGGUGGUGGUUUUUUCAGCUGCUUCCCAAUCAAUGAAUUAAAGACAGAGGAGAGCCUUAAAAUGGUAGUUUCAUUCAUCCACCAAAACCAAACGGAGCUUUAGACGUGUGUGGGGACCUUGACCUAUCAUAAAUCCUCAGAAACAAAAUUAACAAUCACUCAAAGGGAAAGUACGGGGAAGCACUACAUCAAAAGGUCAAGUGGCGUACCAGAAUUUUGAUUCCGAUGUAAUGGUUGAGAACUUCUGCAUCAAAGGCAGCAGCAGCAAGAGCAGAUGAUGAUGCCGCGAUGGGAGUUCAAACUAAACAGCAAAAAAUUAGAGAGAAUUGAAGCAAAGAAAUAUCCAAAAAAUUACAUUCACAUAUCCCAAAACAAUAUAAAACAAAAAAAAAUGGAACUUAAAUCUGGAAGGAGAUGAACAAAUCGAAGCAAAAUUAUUUGUACUUGGCAAUUGAGAAAAACCUGUUCACCUUAAUUUUUUUUGCAAGAACCCUCUUUACCUUAGUUUCACCCACAACCUUCCAAGGCUUCCAUUCUUCUCGGCCCAGGUUGGAAACAACAAUGAUUCACCUUCCUCGUCCCUAAUCUUUGACAUGCAUACAGAAAAUGGAAUUAAAAUUUGAAAUCUAGAAUCGAUCCAAAAAUUGAAAGUUUUUUUUUUUUUUUUUUGAGAAAUCACUUACACUAGGGAACAGCCAUGAGGAGAGGAUCAUUUUUACCUCUUGGUUGAGAUCCAAUUACGGCAGACUAUGCCGGAAAUUGGCCGGAAUACCCACAGUCACCAUUUCUUAGAUCUGAAAUUGAGAAAAUUCGGCUACAAAUUUGGAGAAACUAACUUGAGGGUUGGAAAGAGGAAGGGAAGAGGAUUCUGGAGGUAUAGUUUGACGCUCGUUGGUGACAGGAGGACGGAGCGGCUGCUGCAUGAAAAAGAAGAGGGAGAGAGAGGAAACGGGAGGGAGGAGAGAAAAUGAAGGGGGAAGAGAGCGGAGGGAAUGAAGGGAAGGAGUUGGAAUUUUGUGAAGGGGAGAGGUUUAAUGGUUUUUCAAUUUGUGAGGUUUAAUGGAAUUUUG